GGAGGGUCAUUAUAUUAUUACAUUACUGUGUGCACAACAGUAUGUAGCUAGCACAAUCUAAACACACAACUUUCUUUAUAGAGAAAUGUAUAAUUAUGCAUACAACUUGCAGCUAAAUUUUACACAAAAGGCAACUUUCCCCUGCUUAAUGAAAUCAGGGUUUGAACAACUAAAACAUCAAUAGCAUGGCUAUAAAAAUCAGAGACGGGUUCUUAAUUACUAACAAGAUAUAACACAACUCCCAUCACCCAUCCAACUCACACUACUCUCCCAUCAUCCAUCUAACAUGGAAAUCAAACCAAAGGCAACACCAAAACAGCAAACUGAACUUCCAUUGCUUGAGAGUUAUGUUUCCUCAUUCCCAUGUCCAGCUUCACUUGAUGCUUCAGCCACAACACCAGCCACCGCUAAACAAAGAAAGAAUUAUUUAGUAGGAUGAGAAAUCAUCUUACAGUCUGAUUAGACACUCACUAUUAUCUGUGACACUAACUGAAAUGUGUUACAGUAAAAAGAACACUUAUACACAAAUUACAACUAGGAGAGAACAUAUAAACAUAGUUAAGCUUUUAAGGUAGUACCUGGUGGAUAGUAGAAGCUAACGUAGGGAAAGAGGGACCAUCUAACAUUUGGAUGUUGAUACAGCUUGCUCGAGAGCUUCUUCGAGGUUUGUGACUUGAGAUCAAUCAUGUAGGUGCCAACUUUUGAGAUUACAAAAAUGAUGCCAGUGCCCUCGACAGAGCCACCCAACUCUGGUGGUAUCGAAAAAUUGCCAAGGGGAAAAAGAUCAGUCUUGAGGUCGAUGUCUAUCCGUUGCGUCCACGACGCUACUCCAUCGGGAUCCACCUCCCUCCACCAGACGGAGAGGCAGUAAAAGAAGAGGUGUGCGAUCCCCAGCCUGCCGUCUUCCCCCACCAUGAGGAUAGGAUUGUUGCUGGCACGCUCGACCUCUUCUUCCGGCAGAAGAAUCUCCGACAGGCAAGACUUGCCCAGAUCGUACUUGAGAAUACUAUCUUCAAUAACCUCGUCAUCCUGCUCCCGGAAAACGAGGAAAUAGAGCGCGUCUCCAACCAGAACACUAGGCGAGUCAUAGAAGUCGAUUUCUUCCUCAAAAGGAGCAAUGGCAGUUAAGGCCGGAGAGCACCAAGUACUCGUCUCCGACGAGUACGCGGACGCCGUGGCGACCCCCUCUUGUUCGUCAAGGGUGACAAAAACCACGACGAAGGGACCCGAAUGGCAGUCACCGUGGCUGCAGCUGUCCGCGGCACAGAGCACCGAGGCCUGCCAUCUGCUCGCCCCCGACAUCUCGGGGCGGCACAGCACCGUUUGGCCGCCCGUCAUGGGGUCCCAGACGACGAAGAUCGGCUGAUUGUCAUCCUUGUACGAAAGGAGGAUGCGGCCGUGGCGACAAUCUUUCACGGAAUAUUGGUGCUUGUGGUCGGGACCGCGCGCGCGGAAAUCCGUGGUGGGGAAGAACUCGGCGCGAGUUUUCGGCCAGUCGUGGAGGAAGCCGAGCAUGGGAGGUGUUCGGUGGAAUUCGCCGUAGCGGCGGCGGAAGCCGUGGCUGGCGAGGAGGCCGAGCCAUGGCUUGCAGACGAGGGAGGCGCGGAGGAGAUUACCUGGCUCGUCCGGCGGGAGGCGGGUGAGGAUCUCCUCCACGAGCUCCUCCAUCUCGCCCAGCUCCCGCACAAGCUUCGCCGGCAUCGUCGCCUCUGCCUGCGGUGCGGCCGCCGAAUAGAUUUUGGAGGAUUUUUGGGUGUUAGGGUUUGGAGUCGGGGGAGGACGAGUAGGAGUGAGGGAAAUUUAGCAGGCGUCUCACAGGAUCUGUCGAUCUGCUGACACACUAUAUUUCUGUUUCACAUUCUAGUCCUUUAACUGUAACAUAUUUACCGAAAUAUAUGCAACUCAGCAGGCCAACCCUGCCCCUAAUAUGGGAUAGAUGCAUCGUUUUGGACAGACCGAUCUUGUUAUGUUAGCUAAUAGCAUCUACAUCCAGACGUCUCAAAUCCAUCUCAAACGCCAGAGCGGGCAGACCGAUCACAAAAAACCAUUUUAACUGGACGCCUCAAAUCGGCCUCAAAUGUCCGGGCUGAUCAAAACCCCUCAUAUCCAGCCCAAAUAUAGGGCUGACAUGAGGCGGCCCGGGCGCGUCCGCCAUGUUCGCCCGGCUCACCUUUGGCCCAUCGCGACCCCACAAAUCCCUAUGCGGAUCAAGCCCUAGUAUCGCUUCACUCCGCUCCGCUCCCCUUCCAAUCCGUCAACUCCCGAGUGCUGGCGACCAUGUCCAGCACGGCAGCACCGGCAACCACUCCGACAGCUUUGGCGACGAUGACUGGGCGCCUUCCUUCGCGAUGGUUCUGGAGACGACGACGAGCUAGCCCUCCGCAUCGCGGUGGAGCGCUCGCGAGUGGACACGGGCGACAUCUCCGGUUCAGGUGCGAGGCCAGCUUGUCGCCAACGGCCAUAGCACCGAUGCCGGACCAUCCCGCCCCGAGCGCGGAUCUGGGAGGGCAGCUCAAUCGGCACCGCCCGUCCGUUGGCCUCCUUCACCUUCAGCCGCUGUUGCGCGUGGGCAGUGGUGGGUUCUAGUGCCUGCUCCGUCGGCACCGCGGAUGCACACUCUGGAAUCGAAGGCGCGCGUCGCCCGCCGCGAGAGGCAGAGGGCAAGGGAGAUGAGGGCCGCAUUGGAGCGGCUGCGCAAUCCUCCCGCCACUGCUGCGUGAUGCCAGCGGUGCCCUACGAGGACGAGCGUCUCCUCCAGUGGGUGUACCGACGGUCACUUACGACAGUGGAGAUGGAGGUCCGGCGGCUCCGGAGGAUCGAUGCCAAGGCGCUCCAACUCGGCAUUCAACAGUCCAGGCAGGAGGUGGCGGAGCCAGCGAGGGUGGCGAAGCUGAAGCGGAAGCAGGACCACAUCGUCCGAUGCUUGAAGGGCUACAUCAUCAUCAACUCUUCCUCUUCCGCUGAUAGUGACGACAACGACGGUUCCGACGACGACACACCUCCUGCCGCGGGCGCAUACAUCAGCGCCGGUGACCGGAAGGGCAAAGGGCCGGCGAGAAAUUGGUGAAGCUCAUCCCUCUCUUCGUUUAGAUAAUCUAGCUCCUACUAUCUAGUUAGAAUUUGCUAGACGGUUGAACCGUGUGAAUUAUGCCUGUUGUGUGAUCUUUUGGUGAUUUUUAUGCGAAUUAUGCCCGUUUGCAAUCGGUUAUAUGUCCGAUUCCUAUCGAUUUUGGCCGUUUGGUGAUCUACGUAGUAGGUUGUAUGAUGUUGUAUGGAUGUAGGGGUAUGGAUAUGAGAUACGCGGCUUUGGAUGUGCUAAUUUGGGGACAACCCGGUUAAUGUCUGGUGUGCCAGAUUUGGCAAGUCCGGUUGUAGAUACUCUAAAAUAAAAAAAAGCUCUUCCUCUAACUACUUCCUUUAUUUAUUUAUAUUAAUGUAGCGUAUCAGACUAGGAACAUAUACCAAUUGGAUGAUUUCUUUUGCAGGGUUUGGAUAAUUUUACCCUUGAGUUGCAAUGAUCUUUUGGAAAUUUCACAUGCAUGCAAUNNNNNNNNNNNNNNNNNNNNNNNNNNNNNNNNNNNNNNNNNNNNNNNNNNNNNNNNNNNNNNNNNNNNNNNNNNNNNNNNNNNNNNNNNNNNNNNNNNNNNNNNNNNNNNNNNNNNNNNNNNNNNNNNNNNNNNNNNNNNNNNNNNNNNNNNNNNNNNNNNNNNNNNNNNNNNNNNNNNNNNNNNNNNNNNNNNNNNNNNNNNNNNNNNNNNNNNNNNNNNUUUAUCGCUACAGUUAGCCGACGCACUGUCGCUCAUUCAUGAAUGAAAAUAAGAGUUUUCGUGCCCAAAUUUUCGUUCAAAUUUCCUUCCACUACUAGAAUCUGGUUUUGUGCUGUGUUCCUAAACUUUGCCGAGUUCAUUCUAUCGGAAAUUCAGCAAAUUUUGUGUUUGUUGAGUUUGAUUCAAAAUUGGACUCGACAGUGAUAAGGAGUUCUAAUGAAACAUGGCAAUUUUUUAUUCGUUCUCAAGGUUGCGAGCGUCCUGCCCGCAAAAAAAAGGGUGCCAUCGCCCAUUUCAAAGUCUACCACACCAUUACACUGACGUGUUGCCGUACAUAUGUUUUUACAAUAUAAUGGUAGGAUUUUUCAUAAAUAUAUACUUUUUUUGGAAAAGGAGGAGGGCCUCGGCCUCUGCAUCAGGGCGAUCCAUGUAGCCACUUUAUUAAUUAUUCACAAAGACCUUACAAAGAAAUACAAUAGUAAGUCUGAAGCCACCGUCUAGGCAACCACUGUCCCUACUCCUAUCCAGUUGAUGCAGGGAUGCUGAUAGUCUGGGCUAAUACCAAACAUACCUCGCAGCCAAACCUAACAUCUAAGACCUGAGGCCCCAACCAAACCACUUGCCUGGUAUGAGGCAUACACUGGUCCGACGUGCUCUCAGAGGCCGCCGCCGCCAAUUGCCACCACUCCAUUUUCAGAGCUGUACUGACGCAUCAACCUUGCUCGGUGAUUUAGCUAUUGUCGAUGCCACCAUGACGCCAAACGGCACCACCUCCCUGCGCGUGAACUGCUAAGCACGUCGCGGUCGCCGCCGGUACACCUCAGCGCCGUGCCGCCACAGUACCACCAGCCGACACAGCUUGUGUUGGGUUUCGUAGUAAUUUCAAAAAUUUUCCUACGCACACGCAAGAUCAUGGUGAUGCAUAGCAACGAGAGGGGAGAGUGUGAUCUACGUAACCUUGUAGAUCGACAACGGAAGCGUUUGGAUGAUGUAGUCGUACGUCUUCACGGCCCGACCGAUCAAGCACCGAAACUACGGCACCUCCGAGUUUUAGCACACGUUCAGCUCGAUGACGAUCCCCGGACUCCGAUCCAGCAAAGUGUCGGGGAAGAGUUCCGUCAGCACGACGGUGUGGUGACGAUCUUGAUGUACUACUGUCGCAGGGCUUCGCCUAAGCACCGCUACAAUAUGAUCGAGGACUAUGGUGGCAGGGAGCGCCGCACAUAGCUAAGAAUAAGAUCACGUGGAUCAACUUGUGUGUCUCUGGGGUGCCCCUGCCUCCGUAUAUAAAGGACCAAGAGGGGGAGGCCGGCCGGCCACAUAUGGCGCGCCAGGAGGAGUCCUACUCCCUCCGGGAGUAGGACUUCUCCCCCAAUCCUAGUUGGAAUAGGACUCGCGAGGUGGGAAAAGAGAGAGAGAGAGAGAAAAGGAGGAGGGCGCCGGCCCCCUCUCUCCUUGUCCUAUUCGGACUAGGGGGGAGGGGCGCGCGGCCCAGCCCUGGCUGCCUCUCCUCUUCUUCCACUAAGGCCCAUUAAGACCCAUAUAGCUCCCGGGGGGGUUCCGGUAACCUCCCGGUACUCCGGUAAAAUCCUGAUUUCACCCGGAACACUUCCGAUAUCCAAACAUAGGCUUCCAAUAUAUCAAUCUUUAUGUCUCGACCAUUUCGAGACUCCUCGUCAUGUCCGUGAUCAUAUCCGGGACUCCGAACAAACUUCGGUACAUCAAAAUGCAUAAACUCAUAAUAUAACUGUCAUCGUAACCUUAAGCGUGCGGACCCUACGGGUUCGAGAACAAUGUAGACAUGACCGAGACAUGUCUCCGGUCAAUAACUAAUAGCGGAACCUGGAUGCUCAUAUUGGCUCCUACAUAUUCUACGAAGAUCUUUAUUGGACAGACCGCAUAACAACAUACGUUGUUCCCUUUGUCAUCGGUAUGUUACUUGCCCGAGAUUCGAUCGUCGGUAUUCCAAUACCUAGUUCAAUCUCGUUACCGGCAAGUCUCUUUACUCGUUUUGUAAUACAUCAUCCCGCAACUAACUCAUUAGUUGCAAUGCUUGCAAGGCUUAAGUGAUGUGCAUUACCGAGAGGGCCCAGAGAUACCUCUCCGACAAUCGGAGUGACAAAUCCUAAUCUCGAAAUACGCCAACCCAACAUUUACUUUUGGAGACACCUGUAGAGCUCCUUUAUAAUCACCCAGUUAUGUUGUGACGUUUGGUAGCAUACAAAGUGUUCCUCCGGCAAACGGGAGUUGCAUAAUCUCAUAGUCAUAGGAACAUGUAUAAGUCAUGAAGAAAGCAAUAGCAACAUACUAAACGAUCGGGUGCUAAGCUAAUGGAUUGGGUCAUGUCAAUCAGAUCAUUCGCUUAAUGAUGUGAUCCCGUUAAUCAAAUAACAACUCUUUGUCCAUGGUUAGGAAACAUAACCAUCUUUGAUUAACGAGCUAGUCAAGUAGAGGCAUACUAGUGACACUCUGUUUGUCUAUCUAUUCACACAUGCAUUAUGUUUCUGGUUAAUACAAUUCUAGCAUGAAUAAUAAACAUUUAUCAUGAUAUAAGGAAAUAAAUAAUAACUUUAUUAUUGCCUCUAGGGCAUAUUUCCUUCAGUCUCCCACUUGCACUAGAGUCAAUAAUCUAGAUCACAUCGCCAUGUGAUUUAACAUCAAUAGUUCACAUCUUUAUGUGAUUGGUUCACAUCUCCAUGUGACUAACACCCAAAGGGUUUACUAGAUUCAAUAAUCUAGUUCACAUUGCUAUGUGAUUAAGACCCAAAAAGUGAUCAUGUUUUGCUUGUGAGAGAAGUUUAGUCAACGGGUCUGCCACAUUCAGAUCCACAUGUAUUUUGCAAAUUUCUAUGUCAACAAUGCUCUGCAUGGAGCUACUCUAGCUAAUUGCUCCCACUUUCAAUAUGUAUCCAGAUUGAGACUUAGAGUCAUCUGGAUCAGUGUCAAAACUUGCAUCGACGUAACCCUUUACGACGAACCUUUUGUCACCUCCGUAAUCGAGAAACAUAUCCUUAUUCCAGUAAGGAUAAUUUUGACCGCUGUCCAUUGAUCUACUCCUAGAUCACUAUUGUACUCCCUCUCUUAACACAGUGUAUGGUAUACAAUAGAUCUGGUACACAGCAUGGCAUACUUUAUAGAACCUAUGACUGAGGCAUAGGGAAUGACUUUCAUUCUCUUUCUAUCUUCUGCCGUGGUCGGGCUUUGAGUCUUACUCAACUUCACACCUUGUAACACAGGCAAGAAACUUUUUCUUUGACUGUUCCAUUUUGAACUACUUCAAAAUCUUGUCAAGGUAUGUACUCAUUGAAAAAACUUAUCAAGCGUCUUGAUCUAUCUCUAUAGAUUUUGAUACUCAAUAUGUAAGCAGCUUCACCGAGGUCUUUCUUUGAAAAACUCCUUUCAAACAUUCCUUUAUGCUUUGCAGAAUACUUCUACAUUAUGUCCGAUCAACAAUAUGUCUUUCACAUAUACUUUAUCAGAAAUGUUGUAGUGCUCUCACUCACUUUCUUGUAAAUACAGGCUUCACCGCAAGUCUGUAUAAAACUAUAUGCUUUGAUCAACUUAUCAAAGCGUAUAUUCCAACUCCGAGAUGUUUGCACCAGUCCAUAGAUGGAUCGCUGGAGCUUGCACAUUUUGUUAGCACCUUUAAGAUUGACAAAACCUUCUGGUUGUAUCAUAUACAACUCUUCUUUAAUAAAUCCAUUAAGGAAUGCAGUUUUGUUUAUCCAUUUGCCGGAUUUCAUAAAAUGCGGCAAUUGCUAACAUGAUUCGGACAGACUUAAGCAUAGAUACGAGUGAGAAACUCUCAUCGUAGUCAACACCUUGAACUUGUCGAAAACCUUUUUGCGACAAUUCUAGCUUUGUAGAUAGUAACACUACUAUCAGCAUCCGUCUUUCUCUUGAAGAUCCAUUUAUUUUCUAUGGCUUGCUGAUCAUCGGGCAAAUCCAUCAAAAUCCAUACUUUAUUCUCAUACAUGGAUCAUAUCUCAGAUUUCAUGGCCUCAAACCAUUUCGCGGAAUCUGGGCUCAUCAUCGCUUCCUCAUAGUUCGCAAGUUCGUCAUGUUCAAGUAACAUGACCUCCAGAAUAGGAUUACGGUACCACUCUGAUGCGGAUCUCACUCUGGUUUACCUACGAGAUUCGAUAGUAACUUGAUCUGAAGUUACAUGAUCAUCAUCAUUAGCUUCCUCACUAAUUGGUGUAGUAGUCACAGGAACAGAUUUCUGUGAUGAACUACUUUCCAAUAAGGGAGCAGGUACAGUUACCUCAUCAAGUUCUCUACUUUCCUCCCACUCACUUCUUUCGAGAGAAACUCCUUCUCUAGAAAGGAUCCAUUCUUAGCAACGAAUGUCUUGCCUUCGGAUCUGUGAUAGAAGGUGUACCCAACUGUCUCCUUUGGGUAUCCUAUGAAGACAUAUUUCUCCGAUUUGAGUUUGAGCUUAUCGAGAUGAAACUUUUUCACAUAAGCAUCGCAACUCCAAACUUUAAGAAACGACAGCUUAGGUUUCUUGCCAAACCAUAGUUCACACGGUGUCGUCUCAACGGAUUUAGAUGGUGCCCUAUUUAACGCGAAUGCAGCUGUCUCUAAUGCAUAACCCCAAAACGAUAGUGGUAGAUCGGUAAGAGACAUCAUAGAUCACACUAUAUCUAAUAAAGUACGGUUAUGACAUUCGGACACACCAUUACACUAUGGUGUUCUAGGUGGCGUGAGUAGUGAAACUAUUUCACAUUGUUUUAAUUGAAGGCCAAACUCGUAACUCAAAUAUUUUACCUCUGCGAUCAUAUCGUAGAAACUUUUAUUUUCUUGUCACGAUGAUUUUCCACUUCACUCUGAAAUUCUUUGAACUUUUCAAAUGUUUCAGACUUAUGUUUCAUCAAGUAGAUAUACCCAUAUCUACUCAAAUCAUCUGUGAAGUUCAGAAAAUAACGAUACUUGCCGUGAGCCUUAACACUCAUCGGACCGCAUACAUCAGUAUGUAUUAUUUCCAAUAAGUCAAUUGCUCGCUCCGGAGAACGGAGUCUUAGUCAUCUUGCCCAUGAGGCAUGGUACGCAAGCAUCAAGUGAUUCAUAAUCAAGUGAUUCCAAAACCCCAUCAGCAUGGAGUUUCUUCAUGCGCUUUACACCAAUAUGACCUAAACGGCAGUGCUACAAAUAAGUUGCACUAUCAUUAUUAACUUUACAUCUUUUGGCUUCAAUAUUAUGAAUAUGUGUAUCACUACAAUCGAGAUCCAACAAACCAUUUUCGUUGGUGUGUAUGACCAUAGAAGGUUUUAUUCAUGUAAACAGAACAACAAUUGUUCUCUAACUUAAAUGAAUAACCGUAUUGCAAUAAACAUGAUCAAAUUAUAUUCAUGCUCAACGCAAAUACCAAAUAACACUUAUAUAGGUUCAACACUAAUGUCGAAAGUACAGGGAGUCUGCGAUGAUGAUCAUAUCAAUCUUGGAACCACUUCCAACACACAUCGUCACUUCACCCUUAACUAGUCUCUGUAUUCUGCAACUCCCGUUUCGAGUUACUAAUCUUAGCAACUGAACUAGUAUCAAAUACUGAGGGGUUGCUAUAAACACUAAUAAAGUACACAUCAAUAACAUGUAUAUCAAAUAUACUUAUGUUCACUUUGCCAUCCUUCUUAUCCGCCAAUCACUUGGGGUAGUUCCGCUUCUAGUGACCAGUCCCUUUGCAGUAGAAGCACUUAGUCUCAGGCUUAGGACCAGACUUGGGUUUCUUCACUUGAGCAGCAACUUGCUUGCUGUUCUUCUUGAAGUUCCCCUUCUUCCCUCUGCCCUUUUCUUGAAACUAGUGGUCUUGUCUACCAUCAACACUUGAUGUUUUUCUCGAUUUCUACCUUCAUCAAUUUUCGCAUUACGAAGAGCUUGGGAAUCGUUUCCAUUAUCCCUUGCAUAUCAUAGUUCAUCACGAAGUUCUACUAACUUGGUGAUGGUGACUAGAGAAUUCUGUCAAUCACUAUCUUAUCUGGAAGAUUAACUCCCACUUGAUUCAAGCGAUUGUAGUACUCAGACAAUCUGGGCACAUGCUCACUAGUUGAGCGAUUCUCCUCCAUCUUUUAGCUAUAGAACUUGUUGGAGACUUCAUAUCUCUCAACUCGGGUAUUUGCUUGAAAUAUUAACUUCAACUCCUGGAACAUCUCAUAUGGUCCAUGACGUUCAAAACGUCUUUGAAGUCCCGAUUCUAAGCUGUUAAGCAUGGUGCACUAAACUAUCAAGUAGUCAUCAUAUUGAGCUAGCCAAACGUUCAUAAUGUCUGCAUCUGCUCCUGCAAUAGGUCCGUCACCUAGCGGUGCAUCAAGGACAUAAUUAUUCUGUGCAGCAAUGAGGAUAAACCUCAGAUCACGGAUCCAAUCCGCAUCAUUGCUACUAACAUCUUUCAACAAAAUUUUCUCUAGGAACAUAUCAAAAUAAACACAUGGAAGCAACAACGUGAGCUAUUGAUCUACAACAUAAUUUGCAAAAUACUACCAGGACUAAGUUUCAUGAUAAAUUUAAGUUCAAUUAAUCAUAUUACUUAAGAACUCCCACUUAGAUAGACAUCCCUCUAAUCCUCUAAGUGAUUACGUGAUCCAAAUCAACUAAACCAUGUCCGAUCAUCACGUGAGAUGGAGUAGUUUCAUUGGUCAACAUCGUUAUGUUGAUCAUAUCUGCUAUAUGAUUCACGCUCGACCUUUCGGUCUCCGUGUUCCGAGGCCAUAUCUGUAUAUGCUUGGCUCGUCAAGUAUAACCUGAGUAUUCCGCGUGUGCAACUGUUUUGCACCCGUUGUAUUUGAACGUAGAGCCUAUCACACCCGAUCAUCACGUGGUGUCUCAGCAGGAAGAACUUUCGCAACGGUGCAUACUCAGGGAGAACACUUCUUGAUAAUUAGUGAGAGAUCAUCUUAUAAUGCUACCGUCAAUCAAAGCAAGAUAAGAUGCAUAAAAGAUAAACAUCAUAUGCAAUCAAAAUAUGUGACAUGAUAUGACCAUCAUCAUCUUGCGCCUUUGAUUUCCAUCUCCAAAGUACUGUCAUGAUCUCUAUCGUCACCGGCAUGACACCAUGAUCUCCAUCAUCUUGAUCUAUAUCAAUGUGUCGUCACGUGGUCGUCUCGCCAACAAUUGCUCUUGCAACUAUUGCUAUCGCAUAGCGAUAAGGUAAAGCAAUUAUUGGAUGCUUGCAUCUUAUGCAAUAGAGAGACAACCAUAAGGCUUUUGCCAGUUGCCGAUAACUUCAACAAAACAUGAUCAUCUCAUACAACAACUUAUAUCUCAUCACAUCUUGACCAUAUCACAUCACAACAUGCCCUGCAAAAACAAGGUAGACGUCCUCUACUUUGUUGUUGCAAGUUUUACGUGGCUGCUACGGGCUUAAGCAAGAACCAAUCUUACCUACACAUCAAAAACCACAACGAUAGUUUGUCAAGUUGGUGCUGUUUUAACCUUCGCAAGGACCGGGCGUAGCCACACUCGGUUCAACUAAAGUUAGAGAAACUGUCACCCGAAAGCCACCUAUGUGCAAAGCACGUCGGGAGAACCGGUCUCGCGUAAGCGUACGCGUAAUGUCGGUCCGGGUCGCUUCGUCCAACAAUACCGCCGAACCAAAGUAUGACAUGCUGGUAAGCAGUAUGACUUAUAUCGCCCACAACUCACUUGUGUUCUACUCGUGCAUAUAACAUCAACACAUAAAACCUAGGCUCGGAUGCCACUGUUGGGUUUCGUAGUAAUUUCAAAAAUUUUCCUAUGCACACGCAAGAUCAUGGUGAUGCAUAGCAACGAGAGGGGAGAGUGUGAUCUACGUACCCUUGUAGAUCGACAACGGAAGCGUUUGGAUGAUGUAGUCGUACGUCUUCACGGCCCGACCGAUCAAGCACCGAAACUACGGCACCUCCGAGUUUUAGCACACGUUCAGCUCGAUGACGAUCCCCGGACUCCGAUCCAGCAAAGUGUCGGGGAAGAGUUCCGUCAGCACGACGGUGUGGUGACGAUCUUGAUGUACUACUGUCGCAGGGCUUCGCCUAAGCACCGCUACAAUAUGAUCGAGGACUAUGGUGGCAGGGAGCGCCGCACAUAGCUAAGAAUAAGAUCACGUGGAUCAACUUGUGUGUCUCUGGGGUGCCCCUGCCUCCGUAUAUAAAGGACCAAGAGGGGGAGGCCGGCCGGCCACAUAUGGCGCGCCAGGAGGAGUCCUACUCCCUCCGGGAGUAGGACUUCUCCCCCAAUCCUAGUUGGAAUAGGACUCGCGAGGUGGGAAAAGAGAGAGAGAGAGAGAGAAAAGGAGGAGGGCGCCAGCCCCCUCUCUCCUUGUCCUAUUCGGACUAGGGGGAAGGGGCGCGCGGCCCAGCCCUGGCUGCCUCUCCUCUUCUUCCACUAAGGCCCAUUAAGACCCAUAUAGCUCCCGGGGGGUUCCGGUAACCUCCCGGUACUCCGGUAAAAUCCUGAUUUCACCCGGAACACUUCCGAUAUCCAAACAUAGGCUUCCAAUAUAUCAAUCUUUAUGUCUCGACCAUUUCGAGACUCCUCGUCAUGUCCGUGAUCAUAUCCGGGACUCCGAACAAACUUCGGUACAUCAAAAUGCAUAAACUCAUAAUAUAACUGUCAUCGUAACCUUAAGCGUGCGGACCCUAUGGGUUCGAGAACAAUGUAGACAUGACCGAGACAUGUCUCCGGUCAAUAACUAAUAGCGGAACCUGGAUGCUCAUAUUGGCUCCUACAUAUUCUAUGAAGAUCUUUAUUGGACAGACCGCAUAACAACAUACGUUGUUCCCUUUGUCAUCGGUAUGUUACUUGCCCGAGAUUCGAUCGUCGGUAUUCCAAUACCUAGUUCAAUCUCGUUACCGGCAAGUCUCUUUACUCGUUUUGUAAUACAUCAUCUCGCAACUAACUCAUUAGUUGCAAUGCUUGCAAGGCUUAAGUGAUGUGCAUUACCGAGAGGGCCCAGAGAUACCUCUCCGACAAUCGGAGUGACAAAUCCUAAUCUCGAAAUACGCCAACCCAACAUUUACUUUUGGAGACACCUGUAGAGCUCCUUUAUAAUCACCCAGUUACGUUGUGACGUUUGGUAGCACACAAAGUGUUCCUCCGGCAAACGGGAGUUGCAUAAUCUCAUAGUCAUAGGAACAUGUAUAAGUCAUGAAGAAAGCAAUAGCAACAUACUAAACGAUCGGGUGCUAAGCUAAUGGAAUGGGUCAUGUCAAUCAGAUCAUUCACUUAAUGAUGUGAUCCCGUUAAUCAAAUAACAACUCUUUGUCCAUGGUUAGGAAACAUAACCAUCUUUGAUUAAUGAGCUAGUGAAGUAGAGGCAUACUAGUGACACUCUGUUUGUCUAUGUAUUCACACAUGUAUUAUGUUUCCGGUUAUUACAAUUCUAGCAUGAAUAAUAAAUAUUUAUCAUGAUAUAAGGAAAUAAAUAAUAACUUUAUUAUUGCCUCUAGGGCAUAUUUCCUUCAGCUUGAAGUCUUUGGAAGAUCUGUCAUGCGUAGCACCUGCCAAACAGGCAUGACAAAGCGUAGCACCUGUCGGUCAGGCAUGACUUGACAUUUCCACCGAAGCUCCGUGCAAUAUGAAGCUGCUCCACCUCCUGCCUCCAUCUUCCAGCGCUGCUCUACAAACGAUGCUCCCAAGAGAGAAACGACACCUCAAUGUCACCAUCGUCCGAUAUGGAAGACCAGAUCCUAGGGUUUUCCCCGGAGCAGUACGAGUGGUUCGACGGUAGUCACAUGGCGAUGCCUUCAUCAAGGUAACAUCGCAGAACGCCGCCAUCGCCCGCCGUCGGCUCGGUUUUCACCGGCAACUACGUCUCCCCGACUCGCAGCAGGUACUAGAUGACGGAUCCCGAGAUCCGAACACCUAGCCUCAGGCCGACCACCUCUCACGAAAGAGAUGACCACCAUCGCCGGCUGCACCGAUCAGAACAGAUCUGAUCGGAGGUGCCGCCGAUGAGACCACCAGGCCCUCCAUGCUGGCAUCGUCGAUCUGAAGGCAGCAUGCAUGCCAUCGCAGCCAAGCCGGCCGCUGCCGCCCGCAGCCGCCGCCGCCGCCGCUCAAAGGGCGAGCCGCUGCGCCCGAAGCCCGUGACUGGGCCACCCGCCGCGCCAAGCCAGCCGUCCGUGGACGUGCUGGUCUCCCGCCGCCUGUCGCAGCCAUCCGCCGCGCUGCAGAUCCCAGAUCGGACACGCCGCCACACGCCUUGGGGUCCGCCCCACCCCGGAGACGUGAGAGAGAGGAGAUCCCCCGCCACCGCCGUCGGCCCCCGGGCUUAGCCCGACGAUGUCCUUCGGCGGCAGCGGAGGGAGAGAAGGAGGGAGUUCGCAGUGGCAGCGGCUAAGUUUCUGGGCUGCGCCCAAGUCGCCCUAGGGGGAGGGCGACGCGGGGGCCUUGUUUUCCAUGGGAUGGGAGCGCUCGGGAUCGCGCUUUCCAGAUAGAACGGAGACGGCUUCCCUCAUAAAUAUAUACUUAUAUAGUCACAAAGGAUGCUGAUUAAAUUUGUCCAUCCUUAAAGAAUACUUUUUAUUACCUUUACUCUCUUGUGGUUGUCUCAUCAGAUACAUAAUAUAAUAGUAGAAAACAAAUUAAAAGCAAACUUGAAUUGGAAAGCCAACAUUUUGUCAAGUUGAGAGGAGACAAACCCAUUGGCCAAAAAUGACAUGGAAUGCCUCUCAUCAGGAAAAGACAUUUUCCAUUUUGCAGAACUAUAAAGGUGAAACCCUUAAACUUUUGUUAACUAUCAACCACUUGGUUGACUUUUUUUAAGGGAUGAGGAUGAAAGAAAAUUGCAGUUAUAACAACAAAUAUGAACUUUGGAAUGAUCCAUUCCAGAGGGUAACCGUCCUAAAUUAUGUUUUGAUGCCUCUAUUCUAGCAUAGUACAAUCUCUCACCGAAGAAGACAACAAAUCAUCGAUGUGAUAGAGAUGUGCCAGAAGCCUAAUAAGCUUCUUUUAUCAAGCUUUCCCCCCAUUUCCAUUAUUUUCCUAACGGGAAUGCAACAGCUAGCAAGAGAUAUGGAUACAAGAAAUGAGAAGGGGAACACCGCGAGCUCAAGCAUCCCUUAGAGUUCCUAAGCUCCCCCGAAUUCUUGGCCUCUAGUGGUUCUGGGGUUGGGGGCGGUUAUGGGCCCAUUUGUGAACGUGUGCCCCACGGAUUAGAUCUGUAUGGGCCUACUCGCAGGAUAUCAUGGUGUUCCCGCAGAGCUUUUCCCCCCUCUCCUAUUUUGGUUUUGUGGGCGGUGGCUGCGCGAGGCCAUGGUUGGUGGCCUUUUCUUUUGGAGAGGCAGGGGGUCAUCUGUAUUGGACUACGGGUGUUGGAAGGCCUCCCAAAAGUACAUAGAAGUGCUCCACACUUUAAUCGUUGUGAGGUUAUUUCUCAAGUGAAUUUUAUGGUUAUGCAUAUUUCUUCAACCUAGCUAAAAUUUUGAUCAGCAAAUUUGUCAUCCUAUUUUUUGCACAAACUUCUAUUUUUCUUUGUACAAUUUUAUGGCGUUGAUAUCAUGUUUAUUCUCAGAUGCACUGAAAAGUUUGUUAAUACAAACAAGCAAUUAACUUCAAUCUUGAACAUAUCUUCUGAACCAUAGAUAAGGAUCAAAAUAUAUUACUGUUAGCAUAAGAAUUUAAGAAUACUUACUCUCGCACUGUGUAAUGGUAAGGCCAUUGUAGCUAACUACCAGCCUGACAAAUAUGCGUAUUUUCCCUUCAUAACAGGGCAAAUAUAAUGCACAUUUUAUUAGCAACAGAGGCAAAUGAGUUGCAGAUGGGAAAAAAUGAAUGCUUCUGAUGUAGCAUCAGGCAAUAAGAAAAAUCCUAAACAUACAGAUGCCAUCAACUGAUUGCAGGUAAAUAUAUAUUCUAAGAAUGACAUGAAAUAAUUAGGAACUGUUUCAAAGACCCUCUAUGAGCAGAAAAGCCAAUCUUUCUUGAUGAUUUCUACAGUUUUUGCCAGAUUACUGAAGUAAUAUCUCAGAUUACACAAAUGCAUGUAUAUAUAUAGGCUAUGUAAGCUCGAGAAUUGUGGAAGAUCUUCAUAAAAAAAAUUUCAACACAUGUAAAUGAUCAAUAGAACAUCCACACUACAGAAGAUCUUCAUAGAUAUCAGGGUGAUAUUUUGAACCCAGCUUGUUGCAAAUAGAAUCUUGUUGUAUAUCUAUAGGAAUAGUCGAAUAUAGCAUCAGUAAAUUAAACGAACAUCCUUUCACCAAUACCUCAGUCAGUGGCGAAUCCAGGAAGAAACUAAAGGGUGGGCUCAAAGUUAACGGCGAGAAAACUAUACGUCAUUUUGAAGAGAAAAAAAACAUUAUCUCCUAAUCCUUUGUCGAAUAAGCUAAGAUUUUCUCAGAAUACUACUGAAAAUAUGGAUUGUUUAUUGGCAUUUUUUAAAAAAUAUCAAAUUUUGAAUGGAAAUUUAAAUCUGUCUAGCCAAAUAGUCAUUAUCUCCCAUUCUCCUGUUUCAAACAAGCUCAAAUUUCCUAGAUUACUAUUGGAAACAUGUAGUAUUUGCUCGAUGUUUUUUUAAUAUCAAAUUUUGAACCAAAUUUUGAAAUUGUUUAGCAAAAUACAGCCACUGUCUCUGAAUACCCUUUCUUCAAAUAAGCUAAAAAAAUCAGAUUGCUACUGAAAACAUGUAUGUAGUAUUUACUUAAUUGUUCUAUUUUAAAAAAAAAUCAAAUUGAACUUUGUAUUUGAUACUGCCCAUUUAAACAGACAAAAUUUGGUAUUGCCGGCUCUCUGCUCGACAGGCCAUCCGUCGGGCAUCGCUAGCUGAGUGUGAGCGUGCGUCAUCUCACUCUCAUGUGUGCCUACUCGAUGUGUUUUCCGCUACUUGCCUGUGUAUUGGGUUGCUGAGAGCCUGAGACCAAGAUAUUGGGUUGCUGAGUUGGACCAAGUGUAGUAGUAAAAACAGAAAUUGUAUUUUUGGAGGGUAGGCUAGAGCCUGUUGAAGCCCUCCUUCUAGACUCGCCUCUGACCUCAGUCUGUUAUCAGUUCAUGAGUAAUAACAGCACACAGGAAAAUUUAGUCUACUCACAUAAUCCAAAGGCAUAUAGAUUCCUGUUUUACCCUGAUUUUCCACAUGCUUCUGUAACCCAUCCCGAAAAGCACCUGCAAAUUUAAUUGUGAGUUAACUUGUCAAAGGGAUUGUAUUUGAGGAUUCCUAAAAUCUUCUAGACUUCUUCGCAACCACACAAACUCACUUAAUAAUGAUAAUGUCAGCUCAUUGUCCUUCUUUGAACAUCUCCAGAUUUCAUGGCUAUUAAAAUUCCAAUUGUUAGUGUUUAGUCAAACCCGCAGAAAAUAAUAAAAGUGGUAUAUUUGGCAUGACAUUUCUCAAAUAAUAUAUAUGGUGGUAAACUAUCUUUACUUGCUUGUUGGAUAGAAUUAUUUACUGAAUUAAUUAGUUAACCUAUUAUUAUUCAUAGAUAUCAUAUCAUCUAUGUUCCCCUUCCAUGUCACAAGAACUGAUGGGAUUCUCGCAAAUUUGCAAACAAGAGAAUAUUAGCUAAAUAUUUCUCAAGCACUACUACUGGUGUUCACUCUCUUUGCUGAUAAACAUGUAGUAGUCCAAAAAAGAAAUCUCAGAUUGUCCAAUUUUAUUUUGCCUGGACUGGACGGAGCUUAGUAAUUAGUAGCUUCAAUCAUCAAGAAUUCUGAUUGCUUCAGCUAGUCCACCUGGCUUAAGUACAAUGAGUACGUAAGCCAUAUGUUUCUAUGUACAUCUCACGGUAAUUUUUUUCCCUCUUUUGUAGGCCUGAAGUAAAUUACAUUACAAGUAAUUAUCAUGUUGCUUACCCUUCAGUCCUGACUAUGUAGGAUGAUUUUGUACUUGAUCUAUCUUCUACUUUGUUUUAUUAACAAGUAAAUAUAGUUUAAUGAAACAUUUUUUUAUUUGUUGGCACUACUGAGAUAUAUCCUUUCUCGGAUAGGUGAGCUUUUUGAUAUCGUGAGAUUCAUAAGUUCAAUUACGGACCAUUUAUGUGUAAUAUUCUGGGAGUCCUUGCUAGCUAAUACUCAUGCAUUACAUAUUUAUCUCUCUUUGAAGUCAUGAGGGUUAUUGACAUGAAAUGGUUUCGUAUGCUUCAUAUAAUAUACACACUUUAUGUUCUUUGUUUAUAUGCGCCUAUGGUUUGCCACCUUGGAACCAUAUAUGUGUGCACGUACGAUGGAGCAGACAGUUGUGUCGUUCGUAAGCAAAACCACUUUAUCUGAUGUCAAUGACAAUCUACACCUUUAUGAGAGGUUCCGAACCUGCAAUCUCCAUGAGGUCAGCCAAUUCAUAGUGCUUUAAGAUAAUCAUUAGUUCUAAUAAACUGCUUGUAGAAAUACUUGUUUCAACAAUAGUAAGGUAUAACUGCGAAUUUGCUGCAACAUGCCCGUAAUCAGCACAUUUGUAUGGGGCAAAAACAUUGAUAACACUAUGGCUAUACAAGGUUCAGAAGAAGCCUAGUAGCUUAUAACAGAGUCAGAUAAUGGUGGUAAACUAAAAACACAUAAGAUAUCAAAUAGGAUUUGCCCAAAAAACUUUUGGGAAAAAAAUAUGUACACCAAAAUGAAAUAAAAUGCAUAAACGGAAUAAGAAUCAAUCUCUUGCUUUUGUUGUGAAACAUUGUCAUACCCGCGUGUGUUUUUUUUCUUGAAAAAGACGGGAUGGCUAUCCUGCUACUGCGAAAGACCGAAAAAGUUUAUACGGUAGACGGUAUUAGUAAGAAUAUGUGGUUAUGUGCCGACUGAUUUGAUAAGCAUACAUGUUUUUUCUUUGCGAGGGGAUUAGUUCACAUACAUCAUGAAAGUAAUACCUUCAUCCAACUUCUCUUUCAUGAAGUGGUAAUAUAUUUCAGUGUGCUUUGUUCAUUCACGAUGCACACGUUGUUUGCAAUAUAUGAUUUCUGAAAAAUGAUUCAGUUUCACAUUAUUUUCUCUUUUGUCUCCCAUACCAACAAACUGAUAAAACCGGCCAUGGUACUAGAUAUACACCACAUGCAUGUUCCUCGAUGGGCGCGAUGUGCCUCACCUACCACACGCCACCCUAAGCCAUGUGUUGCAUACAUCCAGGAGCCGGUGCUUGGCUUUGGUUGAGGAUGUGACGGCGAGGUUUGAGGUAGAGGACACCAUGAUUGCAAUGACCAUGGCUGAGAAGUAGAUAGCGACAAAGCAUGGCAGCAAGAAUGUGGCAUCAUGAACAGGAUGUUCAAGUCCUUUUUUGCUUGUAAUUUUUUGCAAGAAAAAAGAGUUUUCACUUCAUGUAAAAUGAACAAAAUUUAGUGCUAAGGUUUUUUUAUAUAUUUGGAGCACUAAUUCUUUUUCUUUUGCAACUGAAACAUUCUUUUGUAUUAAAUUACAAGCACAUAUAUUAUUUGAAGAUUUAGAUUAUGAAAAAAGAACAUGUUUCUUUAGAAUUCUAAUUAAGUAUAUUUUGUGAGUAUAAGUGCAUAUGCUACCGGGAGCCAUUUGUCUCUAUGGAUCAACAUGUCAUUUUCAAAUGAAGAUAAUAAUGUUUAACAAUAAUUUUAAUCUCAUGUUAAGAAUCUGGAGGCACAACCCAUAGUUUAUGAUACGAACGGAGACCUUUUUCCCCGAUUGUGCAUUGCAGUUCAUGCAUAUUUUUUUGAGGGAAUUUAAAACUUCUCCCUUAAAAACAGUAAAUCUAGCCAAGUGUGGGUAAUUGGGAUGACCUUUGUUAUUAUGAUACAAUGACUUGAUUGUAUAGAGUUAGUUGAAUGGAAUUCAAACAAAGAAAACUGAAUAAUCAAGAAGAAAUACAAUCAACAUUGAAUUCAAUAUUAUAAAGUCAUAUUUGUAAAGUCAUACAAGGGGGAGGUUCAUAAAUUACAAUAUCACAUGAAAUGCUAAUAGGAAAAGGAAUAUAAUUGGACAAUAAAUAAAAUUUAUUGAUAAUGAGGAAAUGUACGAGUAUAUGUUACAACCUCCAAGUGAGUCCAAAAGGAGUAAAAGAGGAGAAAAGAAAGAAAAUACCUAGCUCAAGCCCUCUUCUUCUCUUCAUUUUAACUCACAUUUGGAUCAGAGCCUGCAUAACAGUCAUAAAGAUAAAAGAAUUUGGUUAAGGGUUAGAAUGUAUGCAUCUCUAGCUACAGAUGCAAUAUUCAUAUUUGAGGUUAACCUUGACAAAAGCUGAAAUUGGCCCGAUUCUGAAGACAUAGAGCCCGACAAUUAUGACCCAUUCAAGCCAACAAUAGACAUAACUAAAGCCAACCAGGAAUGGCAACUGAGACAACCAAUAUUUCCAACUAUAGCAUAAAAUCCACAACCGAACCAGCCAAGCCUCACUUAAGUCAACAGUAGUCUCUCUCUGUAAGUUUAGGUUAAACCUCAUUAAGUCAAAUCCCAUAAUUAAAUUAAGUAUUGGUUAGGCUUUUAGAUUAAAUUAAGUCCACCCAACCGUUUUCCAAUAUGCCAAUGAUAUGAGCCACAUGUCUAUGUUAAGAAAUUUCCUAUUCAAGGAAAUCCUCAAGAGGAUAAACAUACACAAGACCAGCCGAAGGCAUAAGUUUGCCAAUAGGCAAGCAUUUCACAUAGUGAAAUAAACCUACCAAGGAUAAGACCAAGCCAUCAACCCCCAUGCCAGCCGAAGGGGGGGGGGAGGGGGUGUAUUUGUAUCUCACCUUAAGAGGCCAUCAAGCUGUUUAGAACGAUAAGCAUGAAGGAGAGAAUAACAGGUGUAAUUCUAGCAUAAAUCGGUAAAUUAAAUCCCACAUCUUAUUCAUUUGUGCAAAAUCUGAACGAACAACAUAUGUUUCAUCCAUAUACGCAUUGACCAAUAGUAUAAAUAGGGCAAAUCAGCAACAGUAGAGAGCCACAACACCACUGCUGUCAUACACCAACAGAGAAGAACCACUAGACAGAGCCAAGAAGCUAGAGCAGACGUUAAGGCGUACCACAAGACGCAAAGAAGCUCCAGAAGCCCUUAAACUAAGAAAACAUAGGAUAUGGGAGUUGACCAAAUAGGAUCUGUUCUUAUCAGAUUUAGAAAUGGCAGCAUCUAUUCUUACCAGAUUGAGGUUUUUUAACAUGGUCCUUCUUACCUCCGUUUUUCAUAGGUAAGAAGGUAAUAUAGGUUCCGCGGAAGCCCAUGCAAGAUACUCCUACAAGAACGAAUGGGUAUUCAGUAGUGUGAGUUGUUUUACGGUACCCUGAAUCUAACAUUUUUUUAGAGAAAAGGCGAGAGCCCGACUUUAUAGAUAAAGCCACCAGGCAGAGUAUAUGACCAACAACAGCACCCAACAAAGUAUCACGCGCAGAAGAUAAAGUAUCAUUACAAGGCCAGCGCCUUACAUGGCACCCAGGCCAGCCUAAACCAGACACCAAAAGAGCAUUCAGGAAGCCGUCCUCAAAGAAAGCCGAAGAAGCCCAGACGCCGUAGAUUUCAUCUUGGAUAGCAUGGCGUCGAAGGCCUGGAGGUCCCCUUCUUUAGUCAAUAAUCUCCACUGCUGCAGGAAACCAUUGGCUUUAAAUAAGCAAUUGACAGGAUUAGCUGGAAAAAUAUGUUCAAUCGAGAACUUGUUCCUAGUAGUCCACAACGACCAGCCAAUCGCAGCCCAUCCAACUAAGAAGACUCUUUUAGAAUGGCCAGAAAGAAGAUUGACAUAAUGCCUCAGGUCUUCAAAGGAGGAAGGGGACCAAUUUACAUGUAACCAGAGUCUGAUGCAACUCCACAUAAGUUUAGCUAAGGAGCAGUGAAAGAAAAUAUGCUCGGUGUUCUCCAGUGCCCCACAAAGCACACACCUGUCGGACCCCGGCCCGUUUCUUUUCUUAAUCUGAUCGGCCGCCGGAAGCUUACCCCGGACAGCUUGCCAGAGAAAUAUCUUGAUCUUAGGAGGAAUUCGAGCCGACCAGACAUGCUUAAACUUGACCGGGCGCCCCCCAGGGAUAAGCUUGGAGUAAGCAGAUUUAACCGAAAAACGCCCCAAAGAGGAGAGGGGCCACACCACGGCAUCCUCUUCCUCCGAGAGCAGGGGGAAGCAAGCAGUAAGGCGCUGCCAAUCUUCCAACUCUUCAGGAGAAAGAGAACGACGAAAAUCCAGAACCCAACCCCUAGCCGAGAGCUCAAAGAUAGAAACCUCAGUAUCAUCGCAAUAUGAAAAUAGAACCGGAAAAGCAACAGCCAGCGUGGAGUCCCCGACCCACCAAUCAAGCCAAAACCGCGUAGACUUACCGUUCCUAACUACAAAUUUUACAAGGGACCAAAAGAUCGGCCGGACUUUAACCAGUUGGAGCCAAAAUUGCGACCCACCCGCAGCCGGCGCGAACAUAGGACUCGAGGAGGGGAAAUAUUUAGCUUUUAGGAUAGAGAGCCAGGGUGGCAGUUCCUCAAGAGUCAUGAUCUUCCACCACCAUUUGAUCAUAAGACAAGUAUUCAUCACUCGCGUAUUAAUAAUGCCCAGACCCCCUUUGGCCUUGGGGCGACAUAUAAUGUCCCAUCUGACCAUCCUGUUCUUACAUUUAUUGUCUGCUGCGGUCCAAUAGAAAGCACCCCUAUGCUUGUCAAAACCAUUAUGAACCCCACUAGAGAGAAGAUAGAAUCCCAUUAAGAACAUAGGUAGCGAAGAAAGACAAGAGUUAGUAAGGGCGACCUUGCCCGCUUGCGUAUUAUAUCGCCCUCGCCAAGGGAGAACUCUGUUGCCAACUUUGGUAACCACCGGAGCGAAGUCUUUAGCCAAAAGUUUAAGCGGGGAAAUGGGGAGGCCUAGAUAUUUGAGAGGGUAGGAUCCCAAAGAGCAGUUCAGAAGAUGGGCCACCCGCUGCGCCUCUUCGUCUGAGACCCCAGUCACUACAACCUCACUCUUAGAGAAAUUGAUUUUAAGACCUGAGAGCGCUUCGAAACAAAGCAGAAGGAAUUUCAGAUUGGUGAGGCUAUUAUCAUUAAGUUCCAUCAGAAUUAUAGUAUCAUCCGCAUAUUGGAGAUGAGAGAUGCCAUUAGGGAUGAGAUGAGAGCUCACCGGAGUGAUAUGACCAGCCAAGGCAGCUCGAGAGAGAAUGCGAGAUAGAGCAUCAACCACAAAGUUGAAGAGUAAAGGGGACGCUGGAUCCCCUUGCCUGAGGCCCCUGCCAUUAGCAAAAAACUGGCUAAUUUGGCCAUUGACAGCCACAGCCGUGUGCCCCCCAGAAACCAAUUGCAUCAAGCGCUGCAUAACAGGCCCCUCAAAGCCCUUAGCCAGAAGAACUUGCCGAAGGAAUUUCCAGCUAACCGAGUCGUAGGCCUUUUCAAAGUCAAGUUUGAGAACCACAGCCUUGGUCCCUCGCACCCGUAAGUCAUGAACAAUCUCAUGUAAACAAGUACCCCGUCCAAAAUGAACCUCCCUUUGAUGAAAGCAGACUGGAAAGGGCUAAUGGUCCGAUGUGCAAUGGGAGAUAGCCUAGUGGCCAUGCCCUUUGCAGGCAUCUUCGCGAAGUUGUUGAUUAAAGCAAUCGGCCUAAAUUGAGAAAUCAUAUCCGCACCCUUGACCUUAGGGAUGAGGGAGAGAACCACAUAGUUAAGUCUAGAAAUGUCAACCGAUCCCAGCCAAUACCCUUGGAUGACAGCAGAAAUUAGACCUUUUAGUUGGGGCCAGAAUUGUCAAAAGAACGGAAUGGAGAAACCAUCAGGGCCUGAAGCCGCAUUAGAAUUAGCCGUCCGAAUAGUAUCAAAAAUUUCCUCCUCAGAAGGGGGAAUCAACAGAAGCUCAUUAUCAGCGUGAGAAAUCCUAUCAAGGGGAGCCCAGAAGCCCGGGGCUAGCGCGAAUCCAAGGUCUGGUUUAGCCGAAAGCAGGUUAGAGAAGAACCGAACUACAUGACGGAGAAUGACCGGCGGUUCAGAGACCCUAACACCAUCAAUAAUGAGGCUGUUAAUCAAACAUCUACGCCGUCUGCCAUUCGCAAUGGCAAAAAAGUAAGCCGCGGGAGAAUCACCCUUAAGAGUCCAAUUAAUCGUACCCCUUUGCUUCCAAUACACUUCCUCUUGGCGAUGAAUAGCCAGAAGCUCCUUCUCAAGGCCAUAGCGAACUUGCCACUCAGUAGCCGAGAGCCCACCGUUGUCCGCACGGGAGUCGAGGGCACUAAUUUGAGCACUCAACCUAGAUUUGUCGCGCCUCGACUCAGCAAAGUGGUUCUUGGCCCAUCGUCUAAGGAACUUGCAUAGGGAGUAAGAAACAUAAUGCCAGUCAUCCAUAGGGCCAAAUGAACGAUGGGGGGAGGUAAGAAAGCCCAAGAUCUUCUGAGCCAGCAUAUCAGGGAACCCUUCCACUAAAAGCCAGGAUGCGUCAAAUUGAAAUCUUUGGCAGCCAUUGGGGCAGAGACCAUCGUCAAGGAUGAGAGGAGCGUGAUCGGGCCCGACGAUGGGGAGGGGACGAAGUGAGCAGCGAGGAAAAAGGCCAUCCCAAGCAGGGCAGAUAAAAACUCUAUCAAGAACCGAGCGAAUAGGACAAGUCUGUCGGUUGGUCCAAGUGUAGCGGGCCCCAACCCUCGGGAUCUCAUGGAUAGCCGUGUCCCUGAUGAAAGCAUUAAAAGCCUCGACCCGCACCUAGGAGAAAUUGACAGAACUCUUAUCAGAAGGAUACCGAAGCAGAUUAAAAUCACCCCCAAUCAGGAGUGGCAGUUGGUAGGCAUCAAUUUUAGUAAAAAUCUCAUCCAAGAAAAUUUGAGACAAGGAAUGAUCAGCCGGACCAUAUACUACCAUAAGUUCAAGGAGGGUGUUAUUGGAACGUAGGGAAACUACCAUACUAGCCCAGUAUAUACCAUGGUCGAAAGCCACAAAAUCAAAGGUGACAUUAUUGGUGCUUAGAAGAAAGCCGCCGGACUGACCAACAGAGGCCACGAAAUUCCACCUAAAUCUAUCAAUCCUAGCAAUCGCCGAUAGUUCAGAAGGAGAAAAGGAGGGUUUAAGAGUCUCAACAAGCCCGAUAAAAUCAAUUCUUUCAGCGCGCAUUAAGUCCUUCAGUUGGUCUCUGCGCCCCCUAGCGCAGAACCCUCUAAUGUUCCAAAACAGGAACUUCAUCUUAGGGAAAGGUUUUUAAUUCUCAAGCUCGACCUGCACGGAGCCUUGCAGGUUUUAGCACGUUUCCCGGCCCCGCGCUUCUGCACCGGAGACAGCUGCCCCCUAGCAACCUCGCCCGGUUCCCCUCCGGCCACAAGCAGAGGGGCAUCCAUCCCAGUCCCGGCCUCCUUGGCAUUGGCGAUAUCAGCCUGAGCACGUUCAUUAGCACGAAUCAACUGCAACAGAGAGGAGGGAGAACCCACGCUAGCGUCUAGACAUAUCCCAACAUCAGCUAAUAUCGAAAGGAGAUGUUCAUCGGAAUGGGAGGGUAAAACAAGCCUAACAGGAGACUGAGCCAAAGGGGGGGAAGGAGAUGAGGGUGAAUCCAAACCUGAGGGGGGAAGAUCACGCGCCGCCGCACGCCGAGCCGCCCGAUCCACCACGCGCUCGCCACAGUUGGAGGCGCGGCUACUCUUGCGAGCGGUCGAGGCAGGAGAGCGCACAGGGACCGGAGGGGCCCGACCAGGGGAAGCCGCCGCCGAAGAAGGGCCCGAAGCCGCCCCCAGGUCCGCCUCCAGACGGCGGCAGAGACCAGCCGCCGACUGCCUGGAGUCCCCCGAGGCCCGGCUCUUCGCGGAAAACUUCUUCAUCAAGGACUUCUUCCUUUUCUUGGCCGCCGAAGGUCCCACUGGAGGUAGAUCUUCAAUGCCGGACAGCAAGGGGGAGGUGGGGCGCACGGGCAUGUUGGAGCAGGCCCCCGACAAGGGGGUGCCCUUCGAAGCAGCCGCGGCCGCAGGACCAGCCACCAUACCAGGCACCGAGCCCUGAACCCCACCUCCCGCCGGAGCCGGAGCACAGUCCUUCAUCAGCUCCUGCUCAGCAGGAGAAAGCCCAUCCCACGCAGACUGGGUGAAUCGGGGAUCCAUGCCAUUCAGCGAGUCCUCAAGACCCCCCUACCCUCCCGGCUCUUGUCAUCGUCACCCGAGGCCGGGGGAGGAGGGGGGGGGAGGAGGAGCGACCGCACCAGGAGCACCUUCCACCCGAACUCGAAGACGAAAGCCACCAGCCACCGGGAAGACAUCAACGGAACCACGGAUGCAGAUCGGAUCAACACACCACACACGAAGGCUAGCAGGACCCAGAACCGACAGCGAAGCAAGAUCGACCUCAAUAGGUUUCCUGAUAAGCACCCCAAAAGCCAUCAAGAAGGACGUGGUGCGCAAGCUGGGAGGCACAUCAUCAACGAGCACCCAGACAUCAGACAGAGGAGAUAUGGUCUUGGAUCCGUUGGAAGCCGCUUUGACCGAUACAACAAGUUGAUUCACAGGGAGAGUGAAACUGGUACAGGAAGACAUCAUGCGAAGACUCUCUUUAGAGGGGAAAGUGGCCGCAAACUCGAAAUCAGAAAGCUGACGGAUCUGCCAGUCCCAACCCCCUUCAUCCCACAUAUGAAGUUCAUCCAAGAGGGCUUGUGAAGAGAUACGCUUGUCUUGGACAGUAAUGACACCCACGUUGGACAGGGAGGGAAUGGGAGCAGCUGCGGGGACUUCCUUGUCCAUGGCAAAAAAAGAGCAACCCGGGAGGCCAAACCCAAAAUGGACGAAGGAGGGGGGCUUGAUCCUACUCUGACAGUCCACCGUUAGGUGUCCAUCCUCCCUACAGAUGAGACAGAAAGGAGGGUUCUCGCACCGAGACUGGAAAUGGCCAGGGCGAUGACACGCGAAGCAGGUGAGGAUGGGAUUAGAAACCUGGGAGUGAGAGGAGUUACGGUUCGCACCACGAGAAGGCGGCGGAGGGAGGAUGCCAUCUCCAGAAGAACCACCGACGACACCCGCGCCAGCACCACGUCCCACCGCAGGGCCAACCGGACACCGGGCCGGGGCCCCAGAGCCACCACGAGGAACGAAGCGGGACGACCCGCCGCCGCCCGCCGCUGGCGCCCGCGGCGGCCCACCCAUGGGAGCAAGCGAGGAAGGAGACGAGGAGGGGCCCGAAGAUCCCGCCCGGCUCCCCGCGCCGCCUGUUCCCAAGGGUCGACCACAUGCACCGGAGCUGCGGGCGCCAAGGACGGAGAAGCCACCGGCCCAGAACCAGACGCACGCGGCGAAGCGGCACCCGCCUCCGACCGCAAAGCCUGGAGCUUGGCGCGGAGCGACGCCUCAAACUCCAGAUCCGCAGCGGCGUCGCCAGAGCCGUCCCGCCCCCGCUUGAGGCCGGAGACAGUGUCGCUGGAGGACCCACGGGAGCGGUCCAUCGCCACCACCGACGAGAAGGGGAGAAGGAGGGGAGGGGGAGGCUUGGAUCUGACAAAGCGGCGGAUAGGGAAACGGCGCCGUCGCAGAUCAGCAGCGGAGGCAGGAAACCCUAGAAAAGGGGGAACCGACCCCUUCCGGACCCAUAAAUAGCCGGAGCCAGCCAGGCCGGGCUCUGUCGAAAGGGCCGAAGGGGGAGGCGGACUCAACUGGGCUGGCCUAGGCCCAUCAGACUCAGACACGAGGGGGGGGGGGGAAUCAGCCGUGGAAUCCAGCGAAGGGGCCGACACAGGCCCACACGGCCUGUCACCGACCAGAGGGACCCGGCCCACGGACCGGGGCACCAACGCAAGACCCGAUCCCAGAUCUAGGGUUUGCGCCGGCGCCGCCGACGACGUGGAAGGGAGGCACCUGGACGGUGACGAAACGGAGGGCACCACCACCGAGGAGGAUGAGACGGGUGAGGCCAUGGCGUCCACCCCCGGGCUCACCAAAGAAGGAUCCGCCGCCCAGGGAGCGGCGCGCCGGCGCCCACGGCCAACACGACGCCAUCCAUCCGGGCCCGCAUCAAGCGCACACAGCCGGCCCCGACCCCCCGGAGCAAACUUGCGCCGACGGCCCGCCACCAAUAAUGGAGGCAACCCAACCACCGAUGCCGAGCGAGGAGGAGGGGGAGUCUCAGGAUCAGAAUCGGAGCCAGAGUCGUCGGAAUCAAGGGCCCAGAACUUGUUGGCCCGUGGCGCUGCCAGGGCCACCGGACAGGGAGGGGGGAACGCAGGUGGGAGGGGUUCGGGCCCCGCCGCUGGCGGAUAGCCCGGAGAGGAGCACGAGGGGAGAAGGGAGCAGGGGAGCGAAUCUGACUUGGACGCCGGGGACGAGGGGGAACCGCAAGCCGAUGGCGUCCCGCGGGGAGGGAGCGAGGGAGGGGAGGGCAUGCUCAAUGCGCGUCUAACAUGGGCCGCUAAUUUCUUCCGAUCCAACGGACAGUUUUAGUUUAUACUCCAACAACACUGUCAUGGAGUAUCACUGUUAAACAGCAGGGAGUGCCCUGAUCUAGAGGGUAAAAUUGGAAUAACAAAGGAUAGUUAAUGUGUUAAUUUUUAAUCCGUCAGUAACUGUAAUUCUGAAUUACACGGGACGACUGGAUCAUGUGAUAAACAUUCAGUCACGGCCAGGUUCGGUGGAGCAGGGCCAUCACCGUCCCAAUGUUAAGUAUAUGUGUUAUGUGUAUAUUGUGUGUUGGGCCCGCCUCCUAAUUUUUUAUAUAGUUAAGGUCUGUGGCCAUCUUUGUACAUAUAUAUACAUCCCUAUACACGAAGAGCAAUACAUCAUGCAAUCAUAAUCUCAUACAUGGUAUCAGUUUCCGGGUUCUAACCCUAGUUUCCGCCGCCGCCGCUCCUCCCUCUCCGUUCCGCGCUACCCCAGCCACGCUCGAUCUCGCCUGCUACCCCGCUGAGCCGCUCGCUAUGAUCUAGCCGUUGCCGUUCGCGUACUACCCCGCUGAACCGCUUGCUACAAUCCAGCCGCUGCCGCUCAUCUGCUACCCCGCUGAGCCGCCGCGCCUCUCCACUUGCCCGCUAGCGUCGCCCGCUAUCCACUGCCCACUUACCCGCAUCGCUCGACUCGCUGCUCGCCAGCCAGCAUCGCCUGACUCGCUGCUACUGUCGCGCGCUUCGUCUGCCCAGCCGCGCCGCUGCUUCCUCUCUGCCCAGCGCGCCCGAUCCCAUCGCCCGCCAGCCGUGCCAAACUCCGCUCGCCGCCCGCCAAGCCGAGUCCGCCCGCCAGCUUCCCACCGAGUCCGCCCGCCAGUUGCACCCAAUCCUGCCCGCCAGCCGCGCUCGACUCCGCUCGCCAGCUGCACCCGUAACCCGCUCGCCCGCCCAGCCGCUCCACGCGAAGCCCGUAACUCGCUCGAUCGCCGGACACGGACCGCCGCUGCCCAGCCGCCGCCGUCGGACAGCGAUGGCGUCCACCGGUCCGUCCGCCGCCGUUGCCUUACGGCGCGGCCCCGCCAGCCCGUCCCGACUUGCCGCACGGCUCGGCUCCGCUGCCCCCACUGGCGUACGUCGCCGCCCCACCGCCGGCUCUCUUCGGCCAGUCCAUCGUCGCCCCGCCACCGGCGCCGACUUUGCCUGUCGACCCCUUGUUGUUGCGCGGGGCAUUCGACGCGCCCGUGUACGGGGCUCCCGGGUACUGGUGGGGGUCGUCAGCAGGCCAACAGGUUUUUCCGGCAGGCCAUCCGGCCUACCCGGCGCAGUCGCAGUCAAGGCUGCUUCCCAUACCGCCUGGAGAGUACCCAUCGCCGUUGCCGAGCAGUGGCUACGACCUCCCCAUGGCGUCUCCGUCCCCCUCGUCGGCCCUGCCGUCGGCGCCUUGUGACCCGGUGCUCCUUCCCGCACUGCAUGCCGCUCCUAUGCCGAACAACUACACCAGAGGUGAUGAUUGGUACAUGGACACCGAGGCUACAGUUCACAUGUUUGCUUAUCCUAGUAAUCUUGCCUCCUUCGCCCCCGUUACCACCGACCUCCGCAUCAUUGUCAGCGACGGUUCCACACUCCCUAUCACACAUGUCGGGCACACUUCUUUUCCUUCUAAUUCCAUGCCUAUUACUUUGUCUAACAUACUUGUGUCACCUCAUCUUAUUAAGAACCUUGUUUCCAUUCCUCAUUUAACUCGUGAAAAUCCUGUUACUGUUGAAUUUGACAAGCUUGGGUUUUGUGUCAAGGACGCUCGAACCAGGAUGGUACUUCAUCGAUGUGACAGCCUCGACGAGCUCUAUCCUGUGCAUUCGCCGUCCACCUCCACCACCGCACCGGUUGCUCUCUCCGUCGGCGUCGAUCUCUCGCACGCUCGUUUGGGUCAUCCCAAUCCCGUCACACUUCGUCAUAUUCUUAGGAGUUUCAGUUUCAGUUGUCAUAAGAUAGAGGAUCACACCUGUCAUGCAUGUCGUGUCGGCAAACAUGUUCUUCUCCCAUUUAAUAACUCCACCACCAUAGCUUCUUUUCCUUUUCAAUUGAUUCAUAGCGAUGUGUGGACCUCUCUGGUUCCUAGUAAUUCGGGCUAUUUAUAUUAUCUGGUUAUCCUCGAUGAUUAUUCUCAUUAUGUGUGGACUUUUCCUCUGCACAGAAAGUCGGAUGCACUCUCCACUUUGACGCCUUUUUACUCCUAUGUUAGCACACAGUUUGGGCGUCCCAUCCUUGCUCUUCAGACUGGCAAUGGAAAAGAGUUCUAUAACCUUGCUUUCCGCACUUUUCUGUCGCACCACGACACAGUUUUUCGUCUCACAUGCCCGUAUACUUCCCAGCAGAACGGUCGAGCCGAACGCGUCCUUCGCACUCUGAAUGACUGCGUUUGCAUGCUCCUGUUCCAUGCUAAUGUGCCGCCUCGUUUCUGGCCGGAUGCACUGGCCACUACUUCUCUUCUCCUUAACCUUCGCCCUUGCCAUCCACGGUGGAACUAUGCACCUCACAAUCUUCUCUCUGGUACGCCCCCAUCUUAUGAUGACUUACGUAUUUUCGGGUGCCUUUGCUAUCCUAGCACUGUCGACUCCGCUCCUCACAAAUUCGCACCUCAUUCUGUCGCUUGCAUCUUUAUAGGCUACCCCUACAACUCCAAGGGAUAUCGGUGCUACGAUCCCGUCUCCCACCGUGUGUUCACUUCUCGGCACGUUUACUUUCAUGAGCAUGUGUUUCCGUUUCACCAGGUACCCCAGGCUGUUCCUCCCACACCGGUGACGCGGGCUCCUCGACGCCUCUCCCAGGGCGCUCACGCGCCUCUCUUGGGCCGCCCUGGCUUUGAGGCGCGCCCCCCGCAUGCGGCGCCUCCUACCGCCGCGGCGCUGGCACCCUCGAUGUUGGUGCCCGUGGCCCCCUCGGCGCUCGCGACCCCCCUGCGCCCCGCCCCCCUCGGUGCCCUCGGUCCCCCCGACGCCUGUGGUCGGUCCGGUCACCCGCGCCUGUACGGGCAUUUUUCGUCCGAGCUCGCGCUACGCCUCGGAUGACUACGUCCAUGCGGCAUCCACCUCGGAGUCGUCACCGUUACUGUCCUUCGUUCGAGCCGCUCUUAGUGACCCGCUCUGGAUGGCCGUGAUGCAAGAGAAGUUUGACGCCCUGUUGCGUAACCGGUCGUGGCAGCUUGUUCCCCGUCCCCGGCACGCUAACGUGAUUACCGGGAAGUGGGUCUUUAAACACAAGCUCCGUCCUGAUGGCACCCUUGAUCGCUACAAAGCGCGUUGGUCGUUCGUGGCUUCCGACAGCGUGGUGGCAUCGACUUCACCGACACCUUCGCUCCGGUCGUCAAGCCCGGCACGAUACACACGGUUCUCCACCUUGCGGUCUCCCGUGCUUGGUCGGUGCACCAGAUGGACGUCUCCAAUGCCUUCCUCCAUGGUCACCUCGAGGAGCAAGUCUUCUGCUAACAACCCACCGGGUUUGUGGACCCGGCGCUUCCCGACCACGUGUGCCUGCUUUCGCGGUCCUUGUACGGACUCAAGCAGGCUCCGCGCGCUUGGUACCAGUGCAUCGCGGCGUUUCUCCACCAGCUUGGGUUCCGCUCUAUCCGCUCGGACACCUCGCUCUUCACCUAUCAUCAGGGCUCUGACACGGCCUACUUGCUGCUCUCCUCAGUCAGCUCACGGCUCGUCUUCGUGCUGAGUUCGCCAUCAUGGACUUGGGUACUUUGCACUACUUCCUCGGUGUCGAGGUGGUGCGCCGUCUGGAUGGCUUCUCCGUUUAUCAGCGGAAGUACGCUCACGAGCUCCUAGAGCGCACCAGCAUGCUUAACUGCAAGCCCGCCGCUAUGCCUGUUGAUACGAAGUCCAUGCUUUCUGCCACUGAUGGUUCUCCUACUUCGGAUGCUGCUUUCUAUCGGUGUAUCAUUGGUGCUCUCCAGUACCUCACUCUGACUCGACCAGAGAUCCAGUAUGCCGUGCAGUAGGUGUGUCUUCAUAUGCAUGCUCCUCGAGACGUUCACUGGGCUACCGUCAAGCGGAUUCUCCGCUAUAUCCGUGGCACUAGGGAUCUUGGCGUCACGCUUCACGCCUCCGCCGACACCGUCCUCAUCGCCUACUCCGAUGCAGACUGGGUGGGCUGCCCUGACACUCGUCGCUCCACUUAGGGCUAUUGUGUCUACCUUGGACCCUCACUUAUCUCGUGGUCGUACAAACGGCAGCCUACGGUCUCUCGUUCCGGUGCUGAGGCUGAGUAUCGUGCGGUGGCCAAUGCCGUUGCCGAGUGUUCGUGGCUUCGCCAGCCGCUUCAGGAGCUCUCUUGUCCUGUUGACCGUGCCACGAUGGUCUACUACGACAACGUGUCGGCGGUCUACCUCUCCACUAGCCCGGUGCAUCAUCGACAGACCAAGCAUAUUGAGUUGGAUAUUCAUUUUGUUCGGGAAUAGGUGGCCCUUGGCCAUAUUUGUGUUUUACACGUCCCUACUUCCCAAUAAUUUGCCGAUAUCAUGACCAAGGGUUUGCCUACAUCGUCAUUUGAGGAGUUCCGGUCCAGUCUUUGCGUCAGCCGCGGUGCCGCUUCGACUGUGAGGGGUGUUGAGUAUAUGUGUUAUGUGCAUAUUGUGUAUUGGGCACGCCUCCUAGUUCCUUGUAUAGUUGAGGUCCGUGGCCCAUCUUUUUACAUCAUAUAUACGUGCCUAUGCAUGAAGAGCAAUACAUCGUACAAUCAUAAUCUCAUAUAGCCAGAAAGGUGAGGCCCUGCAGAUUGGAGCUAGGCUUAGCGGCCAGAGAUGCAACGACGGGUGGCCGAUGCGUGACAAACAACCUCUCGACGGGGGUGUGACACGCCGACGGCGGCGGCUGAGAUGCAGCAUGGUUAAAGUACGACAAAGUUUUGCAGCCUCCCUGAUUUAUUUAUUUUUUGUUGCGGGGAGGAAGAAGAUGAUUGACGCUACGUGCGCGCAAACAGGAAGGACGGUUUCAUAUUACCCCGGAUCACCAGAGUAGAUUAAGGAAAUGCAAUUAGUCAAAAAUUAGACACGGAAAAGACUAAACUACCCUAUCAAAGAAACGUACAGAUUUACUCGGUACUCCCAUCUAUGUUUGGUGAGUACCAGGGUAUCGUAAAAAACCUCUUGAACAUACCAGUAUUCAUCAUGUUCACGGAGCAGCCUACUUCAUUAUUGGUUAAAUUGCUUGCCAAAAUCACAGCACGCAAAGCGCAUUAGCGCGCGAAGACAUCAACAUCAGCAGAAGUUGGCGAUCAGUUUGUAAUGGUGUCAUAGGUGUGAGGCUCAUUAGCAGAUUAUUGUGUGAUCCACGCACAACAGACGAUGCAGCUGCUGGCACUAUUUAAAUAUAAAACUUUCUGUAGAGGAAAAUUCUAAAACUUUCUGUAGAGAGAAAUGUGUAAUUAUGCAUAUAACUUUCAGCAUUCUUUUUACACAAAAGACAACUUUCCCCUGCUUAAAUGGAAUCAGGGUUUGAACUUUGAAAAGCAAAAACAUCCAUAGCAUGGCUAUAAAAAAUAGAGACAGUUAAUUAACAAGAUAUAACACAAACUCUUCCAUCAGCCAUCAAACUCACACCACUAUCCCGUCAUCCAUCCAACAUGGAAACCAAACGAAAGCCACCAACACCAAAACAGCAAUCUAAACUUCUUCAAUUCUUGAGACUUCUGCUUCCUCAUUGCCAUGUCCAGCUUCAUCACUUGAUGCUUCAGCCACAACACCAGCCACCGCUGAAGAAAGAAACAAUCAUGGAAGAACACGCAGUCAGUAUGCUAUGAAAGCAUCUUAGUGUCUGCUGAUUACACAUUCACUAUGUUUUAUUUGUGCCAAUGACUGAAAUAUAUUAGGAGUAAACAUAUAUUCCCAAAUCACAACUAUACAUGCAUAUAAAAAUACACUUCUUCUUUGGUACAACCCCCCUAAAUACAGCAACGGCUGAGAUCGCUCCGUACCCCUUCGUUAAAAAGGGUAGGAUCGUCUCAUCACAAAAAAGCCGCCGCCCGCGCGACGGGGCUGUACCCGCGUCCGGUCCUGUACGGCGACUGCCCGUACAUGCGUCAGCCCGUCUACGCGUCGUGUCGGGCCGUCUAUGUACGACGACGUCCAGUUGUGGUCAAAGGAAAAUAGACACGACACGAUCUGUCGAGGGACGGUUGCGUGGCGUCGUGGCAUCGGUCAAGGGACGGUUCCCGAGGCGGUCGCCGCCCCCGAUGCGCCAUUAAGGCCGACGUUAAGCCGGUGCGUCGGUCACCUACCGCCGCCCCACCCGUCCUUAAACACCCCCUCUCCCGUCUGACUCCCCCACCCCCACUCACCUCACCCACCGACGCCAUCCACCAGACGCGCCCUCACUCCACCGACGAUGCGUUCCCUUCUCGGCAGUAUCCAUUUUGUCCGGCAGCAACAGCGNNNNNNNNNNNNNNNNNNNNNNNNNNNNNNNNNNNNNNNNNNNNNNNNNNNNNNNNNNNNNNNNNNNNNNNNNNNNNNNNNNNNNNNNNNNNNNNNNNNNNNNNNNNNNNNNNNNNNNNNNNNNNNNNNNNNNNNNNNNNNNNNNNNNNNNNNNNNNNNNNNNNNNNNNNNNNNNNNNNNNNNNNNNNNNNNNNNNNNNNNNNNNNNNNNNNNNNNNNNNNNNNNNNNNNNNNNNNNNNNNNNNNNNNNNNNNNNNNNNNNNNNNNNNNNNNNNNNNNNNNNNNNNNNNNNNNNNNNNNNNNNNNNNNNNNNNNNNNNNNNNNNNNNNNNNNNNNNNNNNNNNNNNNNNNNNNNNNNNNNNNNNNNNNNNNNNNNNNNNNNNNNNNNNNNNNNNNNNNNNNNNNNNNNNNNNNNNNNNNNNNNNNNNNNNNNNNNNNNNNNNNNNNNNNNNNNNNNNNNNNNNNNNNNNNNNNNNNNNCGUCGGCCAGGCUCGUCGGGAGUCGGAGACGGGCGACUCGUCGUCUGCCCCGCGCCGGCCCCGCCGUCGCCCUCCAGCGGCCACGCCAUCCCCAAGCUCCCUCCACCGUCCGAUACCCACGCUCGCCGGGCCCGCCGACCCUCCCGCCGGAGCAGUUCGCGUUGCGCGAGGACGGCGACCCCGACGACUGCCCCGGCUACCUCAUCGCCCUACGGGCGUCGCAGGCAGAAGCGGCGGCCGCGGAGGCUAGAGAGGCCACGGAGCUGUAGGAGGCACUGGACGCCACGACGGCUAUGGCGGCGGCAGCAGAGGCCGCUCAUGUGCAGGCGGCGUUGGAUGCGGCGGCGGCUAUGGGUGCGGUGCAGGCGCCGGCGCAGGCGGCUCCGGUGGAGGACGACGCCGUCAAGAGCAGCGAUGAUGAUGACGGUGACAGCGGUGCGGGCGAGAUCAUGGACCUCGCCGCCUCCGACGACGAGUAGAUUAUGUUUAGAUUAGGUCCUCUUAUGUUUAAUUAAUUUAGAUUAGGUCCUCUUAUGUUUAAUUAAGUUUCGUUAUGUUCGAAUGUAAAAUGAACCGUUUGUCAUAAUAUUUAAUGAACUAUCCUUAUGUUCGAAUGAAUUUUGGAUGAAAAUUAUUAUGAAAUAUUCUAAAAAUGUUUCUGAAUUUUGAAUCAUUUUAUAAAAUAAAAGUAAGCCAAAAGAAAUUAAAAUUUAAAUUUUGCCUGGAAAAUCGAAAGAAAAAUAAAAAUGAUAUAAAAGAAAAGAAAAGAAGAGACGAAGAAAGGAAGAGGAAAAAACAAAAUUAGAAGGGGGAAAUCGUAAAUUAUUUUGGAAAAGUUAGUACAAAAUAAUUUUGAUUAAUAACAGUGUUUUGGAUUGCCGGCGGCAAAAACCGUAGAAAAUGCAAACAGUCCCAAAAUGCACCGAAAAUUGGCAAGCAUAAUUCUCAUAUAGAUAGAAGGCCGUGACGGGUGUGACGUACGCGGGCAGGCAUACGACGACGCGCGCGUCGUCAGGUGGGUAUUCCUAUACCUAAUGUGAAAUGACCAUCCUANNNNNNNNNNNNNNNNNNNNNNNNNNNNNNNNNNNNNNNNNNNNNNNNNNNNNNNNNNNNNNNNNNNNNNNNNNNNNNNNNNNNNNNNNNNNNNNNNNNNNNNNNNNNNNNNNNNNNNNNNNNNNNNNNNNNNNNNNNNNNNNNNNNNNNNNNNNNNNNNNNNNNNNNNNNNNNNNNNNNNNNNNNNNNNNNNNNNNNNNNNNNNNNNNNNNNNNNNNNNNNNNNNNNNNNNNNNNNNNNNNNNNNNNNNNNNNNNNNNNCGAAGCACUCCCCAUAAAAAUAAAAAGAAGUUAAGGGGUACCUGGAGCUGGAGGAUAGUAGAAGCUAACGUAGGGAAAGAGGGUCCAUUUGAUAUCUGGAUGUUGACACAGCUUGCUCGAGAGCAUCUUCAAAGGUGAUUUCAGUGACUUGAGAUCAAUUUCAUAGGUGCCGAGAUUUGUGGUUGCAAAAAUGAUAUCAGUACCCUCCAUGGAGCCAACCAACUCAGGUGAUACUAUGGAAUCACUAGCAGGAAGAAGAGUCUCGAGGUCGAUGUCUCUCCGUUGUGUCCACGACACAACUCCAUCGGGAUCCACCUCCCUCCACCAGACGGAGAGGCCGAAAAAGAACAGGUGUGCGAUCCCCAGCCUACCGUCUUCCCCCACCAUGAGGAUAGGAUUGUCGCUGGCAUCCUGCAUCUCCUCCGACAGAUGAAUCUCCGACAGACAGGAGGUUCCCAGGUCGUACUUGAGAAUACUGCAACCUUCAACAUCCUGGCCCCGGAAAAGGAGGAAAUAGAGCGCGUCUCCUGCGAGCACACUAGGCAUGGAGAAAUGGAUUUCAUCCUCAAACGUACCAACAUCGGUGACGGCCGAAGAGCUCCAACUACCCGUCUCCGAUGAGUACACGGACGCCGUAGCAACCUCUUCUUCCCGGUGAAGGAUGACGAAAACGACGCCAAAUGGACCGGAAUGGCAGUCACCGUGGCGGCAGCUGUCCGCAGCACAGAUCACCGAGGCAAACGACCUUGCCUUUUCCGACAUUUUAAGGGUGCCAAGCACUGUUUCGCUGCCCGUCAUGGGGUCCCAGACGACCAGCAAUGGCAUAUCCUCAUCCUCAUCGAAGUAUCGAAGGAGGACGCGGCCGUGGCGACAAUCUUCCACGGUAUAUUGGUGCUGGGGGUCGGGACCGCGCGCCAGGAAAUCCGUGGUGGGGAAGAACUCGAUGCUGAGUUCCGGCCAGUCGCGGAGGAAGCCAAGCAUGGGAGGUGUUCGGUGGAAGUCGCCGUGGUGGCGACGGAAGGCGUGGCUGGCGAGGAGGUCGCGCCAUGGCUUGCAGGCGAGGGAGGAGCGGAGGAGAUUACCAGGCUCGUCCUUAGGGAGGCGGAUGAGGAUCUCCUCGACGAGCUCCUCAAUCUCGCCCAGCUCCGCCGCCAUCGUCGUGUGUGCCUGCGGGCUGCGGCGGCGGAAUGGAUUUUGGAGGAUUUUUUGGUGUUAGGGUUUCGAGUUGGAGAGGAUCAAGAGGAGCGAGGAAAAAUUCUGGAGGCGCGUCUCACAAGAUCUGUCCGCUGACAGUUUUGGUAUUUCCUUUUCACACUCCAGUCCUUUAACUGUAACAUAUUUACCGACAUAUGCAAUUCAGCGGUCCAAUGCAUCUCGGACAGGCCCACCUUGCAAUGGUCGAAAAAAAGUUCUUCCUCUCACUACUCCCUCUAUUUCAUUUCAUGUAGCUCAAUUACCAGAUUAGGAAUAUAUUUGGACCAUUUCUUUUGGGGCUUGGAUGUUUUUACCGAUGAGCAAACAUCCAAAAAUGGUAUAGUCGACGCCUUGCGUGCAGAAACAUGCGUUUUUAAUUCACAUGCAUGCAAUGUCCAAGCGCAUGAUCACUCCCACGCUGUGUUUUGGUUUUCGGUUUGCGUUUUUUCUCGCCCUUGAACGAGAUGGCCGAAAUUCGGCCAUUUCAAAAAUUUCGGCAAAAUCUCGGACGAAAAUACAAAACUAAAAUUUGAAUUUUAACCCAAAUUUAACUGAAAUUUAGCCGAAAAUUGGCCAAAAAAUUUGAAAACAAGCAGAGGAAGAGUAUAGCAGUCGAACAACGCUGUGAGUAUGAAUAUAAAUAUUUACCGAACUAGCUUUGGGUAUUAAAAACUCUGCAUCUGCCAAAAAUCACCAUCAGAUCCAAAAGUAAACGAAUGAAGCAUGGACAGGGAGAUGUGCUGCAGCGUUGAUGUAACACCCCGGAUAUAACUUUCCCAAUUUGUACUCCAACUCUUGCCGUUUCCGGCGUUAAGUUAUUUUAUUUUCUCGGGUUCGGGUCUUUGUCUCCGUGUGUUCUUAUCGUUGUCAUGCAUCUCAUAUCAUGUCAUCAUAUGCAUUGCAUUUGCAUACGUGUUCAUCUCAUGCAUUCGAGCAUUUUCUCCGUUGUCCAUUUUGCAUUCCGGCGCUUCGUUCUCCUCCGAUGGUCAUUUCUAGCUUUCUUUCGUGUGUGGGGAUUAAACAUUUCCGGAUUGGACCGAGACUUGCCAAGCGGCCUUGGUUUACUACCGGUAGACCGCUUGUCAAGUUUCGUAUCAUUUGGACUUUGUUUGAUACUCCAACAGUUAACCGAGGGACCGAAAAGGUCUCGUGUGUGUUGCAGCCCAACACCCCUCCAAUUUGGCCCAAAACCCACCUAACUCUGCUCCAUCACCUAGAUCGUUUGAUCACGAUUGCGUGGCCGAAAACCAUGCCUCGUUUGGACUCUCCUACCUCCCUCUAUGCCUAUAUAUACACCCCCUCCCGAAAAUCCGGAUCUCCCUCGUCUGAAACCCUAAAAAUCACCGCCGCCGCCGGACAAAAAUCCCACCGACGGACGUGUCCGCCCCGCUCCCCCCAGCCUGUCUCCGCCCGCCACGUGGCACCCGGCCACCGCCNNNNNNNNNNNNNNNNNNNNNNNNNNNNNNNNNNNNNNNNNNNNNNNNNNNNNNNNNNNNNNNNNNNNNNNNNNNNNNNNNNNNNNNNNNNNNNNNNNNNNNNNNNNNNNNNNNNNNNNNNNNNNNNNNNNNNNNNNNNNNNNNNNNNNNNNNNNNNNNNNNNNNNNNNNNNNNNNNNNNNNNNNNNNNNNNNNNNNNNNNNNNNNNNNNNNNNNNNNNNNNNNNNNNNNNNNNNNNNNNNNNNNNNNNNNNNNNNNNNNNNNNNNNNNNNNNNNNNNNNNNNNNNNNNNNNNNNNNNNNNNNNCCUCCGCCGCGGUCCCGCCCGGCCGGACCUUGCCGCCGUUCCUCGUUGGCGUCGAUGGCCGCCACCGCCGCCCUUGCCUCCGCCGCCCUGCGCGCCACCACCCGGAGCCGCGCCCGACCCUCACCGGCCACCGCCUCCCCGCCUCUCCGGCGACUCCGCCGCCCUACGCCAUCCUCCUCGUCGCCUCCGGCCGCCGCGGCCAUCUCCGGCGAGCUUCGGAUCCGCCGCCGCUAUAGUAGAUCGCGCCGGAUGAACAGUAAACCCUAGAUCCGCGCGGGGUAAAUUUCUUCUAAGUCCCGAAAUCUCCGAUCCAAGUGCCCAUGUUCAUGGCCUCGUAACUUUGCAUCUGUAGCUCCGAUUCAUGCAUAUAGCAUAUUAAAAUGUUCACCUCAGAGAGUACAUCAUUUCAUUCCAUUGCGUCAUUUUCAUUUGUGUUCAUCUUGAUGCCCAAAAUGCUGUUAGAAGAGGGCUACUUGAGUUAAUUGCCAGAUCUGCUACUUCAUUUAGAGUUUUGUCAUUUUUGCCAUGAUUAAUAUGUGCAUGAUAUGCCCUGAUGCUCUACAUAUAUUUUGUUAAGGGUUUUGUCAUCUUUCCAGAGGUGCAACCCAUGUAUUUUUGUGAUGUGUGUGGUGACUAGUGCAAGCUUGCAAAGUGGUGCACUUGGUAAUUCUGUUCUCAGGGACUUGGUAAUUUCACUAAGUCCUGGAUCUGUUUAUCUCAUGAUGCCAUAUGUUCUUGUUGUUUCCUAGUGAUCCGUGCCUCUUUUGAGGAUGAUUAGUAAGGGAGUUUUAUUUAUAUGGUAGUGCUCUAUCCAUCCAUGUCUUUGUUUGCAAUUAUGGAUCACCUUAGCUUGAGUCAAUCAAACUCUACUUUUGCUACUUUGUGAAUCUGGGCAGAUUGUCAACUUGUUUGCAAUUUUGCCAAUGAUGUUGUAGUUGAUCUGUGCAUGCUAUGUUAUUGUUCUUGCCAUGUCUAGCUUGCAUUUUGUGUAUUCGUGAUGGGUGUAUGCUUAUCUUAUCAUGACUUGCACUGUGGUGAGAGCAUCGAGCUUGUAAACAUGCCUACUUGAGUUAUGUUUCAGCAUGUGCCAGUUUUCACUAAGUCUGAAAACUGAUUAUGUUUUUGCGAUGUUCGCGUGCUUGUUAGUAUAUUUUAUAAUCCCUUUUGGCUCAAGGGCACUAAGGGACUUUUGUUAAGCUAUUUGAGUAGCUCCACGCCAUGUUCUUCUUUGUCAUGUUCAGGUCCUGUGGCAUGUAGUUUUGUUGCUACGAAGAGUGCUAUCUGAUCUGAAAUUUUAGACAAGUGUUAAUUUUACUAAGUCUGAGAUCUGUUUAUCAUAUGCAGUUUUGCCAUGCUUGUUUGAACCUGUUAAUGGAUGAAUUGGCCGUAGCUCAGUGCUAGACUUUUGUUAAGCAUCUUGUAUGCAACCCUGCCAUGUAUUUUGUUGUCAUGUUUGGGUGCUGUAGCAUGUCCAUUUGGUUGCAUUUAGAUGGCUACUUGCUGUAAAUCGCAGACCGGUGUCAUUUUUGAAUCGCUUGCCAUUUCCAAACCGUAACUCCGAUUCCGGCGUUCUUUAUAUCGUUUUCAAGCGAUUUCAUCUCAUCUUUCCAGUGGCACACUUGGAUUUCCAAGUUGAGGCCAGGUUCUUGCAUUUCCUAUCAUAUCGUGCAUUAUGCAUCCCGCAUAGCAUACCAUCUUUGCAUCGUGUUGUUUGAGUUUGCACGUGGUUGAUUGUGCCCUUGUUGCUUGUUUGUCUUGUUUGGGUAGAGCCGGGAGACGAGUUCACUAACGAGGAGCCCGUUGAGUUUGCUUUCGAGGAUCCAGUCAACUCUGACAACUUUGCAGGCAAGAUGAUCAUACCCUCGAAAUCACUACUAUCUUUGCUAUGCUAGUUUGCUCGCUCCUUUGCUAUGCCAAUGCUACGAUGCCUACCAUUUGCUUUCAAGCCUCCCAAAUUGCCAUGCCAAACCUUUAACCCACCAUGUCCUAGCAAACUAUUGUUUGGCUAUAUUACCGCUUUGCUCAGUCCCUCUUAUAGCGUUGCUAGUUGCAGGUGAAGAUUGGAGGCCGUUCCUGGUUGGAGCACUUAUUUACUUGUUGGGAUAUCAUUAUAUUACCAUGUUAUCUUAAUGCAUCUAUAUACUUGGUAAAGGGUGGAAGGCUUGGCCUCUCGCCUAGUGUUUUGUUCCACUCUUGCCGCCUUAGUUUCCGUCAUAUUGGUGUUAUGUUCCCGGAUUUUGCGUUCCUUACGCGGUUGGGUUAUAAUGGAAACCCCUUGAUAGUUCGACUUGAUUAAAGCUUUUCCAGCAAUGCCCAACCUUGGUUUUACCAGUUGCCACCUAGCCUUUUCUUUCCCUUGGGUUCUGCAGACUCAAGGGUCAUCUUAUUUUAACCCCCCCGGGCCAGUGCUCCUCUGAGUGUUGGUCCAAACUGUCAGCCGCCGGUGGCUACCAGGGGCAACUAUGGGCUGGCCUACCAGAAGUUUAGACAAUCUGAGUGUGCCCUGAGAAAGAGAUAUGUGCAGCUCCUAUCGGGAUUUGUCGGCACAUUCGGGCAGUGUUGCUGGUCUUGUUUUAACCUGUCGAAGUGUCUUGAAUAACCGACAUACCGAGUCUGACCGGAACGUCUUGGGAGGAGGUCUAUUCCUUCGUUGACCGUGAGAGCUUGUCAUGGGCUAAGUUGGGACUCCCCUGCAGGGAUUGAACUUUCGAAAGCCGUGCCCGCGGUUAUGGGCAGAUGGGAAUUUGUUAAUGUCCAGUUGUAGAUAACUUGAACCUUAAUUUAAUUAAAAUGAAUCAACCGUGUGUGUUACCGUGAUGGCCUCUUCUCGGCGGAGUCCGGAAAGUGGACACGAUGUUGGAGUAAUGUUUGCGCAGUUUGCUCUCUAGUUUCUCGCUCGCGCUUUGCCUCCUCUUCUCGCUCUCUUUUGCGAAUAAGUUAGCCACCAUAUAUGCUAGUCGCUUACUGCAGCUCCACACAUAUUUACCUUGCCUUACCUAUAAGCUUAAAUAGUCUUGAUCACGAGGGUGCGAGAUUGCUGAGUCCCUGUGGCUCACAGAUUACUAUUACACCAGAUGCAGGGCCUGAUGAUUCCGCUCCAGAUGACGCGCUCGAGCUGGGAGUUCGACGAGGACUCUCAACGUUACUAUGUUUCCUUUCCCGAUGAUCAGUAGUGGUGCCCAGUUGGGGGUGAUUGGGACCGUGUCGCAUGUUGGGUUUAUCUUCUAUUUUGGCGCCGUAGUCGGGCCAUGAGUGUUUGGAUGAUGUAAUGUUAUUUAAGUACCUUGUUUGACGUGGCGAGUGUAAGCCAACUAUGUUAUCCCUUUUAUUAUUCAUAUUACAUGGGAUGUUGUGAAGAUUGCCUUACUUGCGACAUAUGCCUUCAAUGCGAUUAUGCCUCUAAGUCAUGCCUCGACACGUGGAAGUUAUAGUCGCAUCGAGGGUGUUACAAGUUGGUAUCAGAGACUUCCCCGACCUUAGGAGCCCUAUUGCUUGAUUGUUUUUAGCGGCCGAGUUGUGUCUAGAAAAAAAAUGUGUUGAGUCAUUUAGGAAUUAUAUAUCGGGGAGUUUAGGAAUUCUUUUUACUUCCCAGUCUCCUCAUUGCUCUGGUAAGGCAUCCUGACAUAGAGUUUUGACUCUUCUCUUCUCAAAUUUCACUAAAAUAAUUUUAGAUCACGCGGGUAUCUUGGAAUCGUUUCGAUGGUUUUAUGAUGAGAACAUUGUCUUGGUGCCUCCUGUCAGGGGUUUAGUGGAAGUGUCCCGGGGAGUUGAGCUCUGAGGUGUUGUCAUCAUAAUUUUAUCGUUGCAGUUCUGGAAUACCUGAGUUUAGCACGCCAACAUCGAAAAUCUCUUUUAUGCAGUUCGUUGGUGAGAUAACCUCGACGCCACCCAGUACUGGGGCGGGAGUUCGGGAGUAUCGCCAUAACUUGUAUAACGGAUGCUUUUCGAAGGUUGAGGUAGAUGGUUUCCGAAGGUUUCUUGGUUAUGUGUUGAAGGAUGGAUACAGCUGGAUGUAGGAUUUGCUAGUUUGGGUGAGAUAUUAUGCUUCCCCUGUAUCCUCAACACCUGAUUGCAUAACCGGAAAGGUUCGGGAGUUUCAUAGGUGGGAAUUCUUGUAGCUCUAGUUCUUCUUCCACGGAUAUUGGUUUGAGAUUGGGAUUUCUUACCGAUUAUUCGUUCUUGAUCCGUACCUUGUUGAUUUAUUUCUCUACCUUAAUUCUACAUGGCUUCUCAAUUUAUGGAUAGGUGACCAUUUCAAGAGGAAUGCAUUCGUUCAUUUUGUUCGGAUGAGAAGACUAUAUGUUGCAAUUUUCAUUCCGUUGGAUUCAGCCUCAAUAUUUGUCUAUCAAUGUGCUAAUGGUGGUCAACCUCUUCAGGAUGGCUCCUCCAACGCGCACGACUCCGAAUCCUGAUCCGCCACCACCUCCACCUCCUCCAGAGGCAUGGCAAGCUGUGAUGGCCACAACCAAUGCAAACACUCAGUUGAUCAUGCAAAUUCUUCAAGAGCGCAAUCAAGACAACCAAGGGAAUCAAGGCAACAAUCAGAAUCACUUUGCUACACUCAACCAGUUCCUUGCUAACGGGCCAAAGACUUUCAGCAAUUGUGUUGAGGCAACCGAUGCUGACGAUUGGCUAGUGGAUCUGUGCAAGCAUUUCGAGUGCAGUAACGUCAGGCCUGAGGACUUUGUCAAGUUCGCUUCCUUCCAACUCAAAGAUCAAGCUGCAGAAUGGUUCCAGCAGUACAAGGACUCCAGAGGUGGACGUGUUAUCACUUGGGAUGAAUUCCAUCAAGAUUUCCGAGCUCAUCAUAUCCCUCAGAGUGUGGUUAAAAGCAAGCGUGAGGAAUUCCGCAACCUGAAGCAAGGCUCUUUGUCUGUCUAUGACUACAACAAGUUGUUUCAGAAGCUCGCCUGCUUUGCCAAGCAGGACGUCCCUGAUGAGAAGAGCAUGAUAUAUCAGUUCAGGGGUGGUCUCAGGGAAGAAAUUCAGCUAGCUCUUGUUCUAUUUGAGCCCUUGAGAUACGAUGAGUUCUACAACAUGGCACUGAAGCAAGAGGCUGCUCAGUUGAGGUGCGAUGCUUCCAAGAAGCGAGUCAGAGAUGUUACUCCUUCUUCCUCUACUCAAGUGGCCAAGCAGCAGAAGUAUUGGCUUCCUCCUCCUCCGUUCCGUCAGCUGUAUCAACAGAAGAGCAAAGGUGGCAGUGGUUCUUCCCACCCACCCAACCCUGGCUUUCAGAACAAGACUUCAUCUCAAGCUCCAAGAUUGAGUGCUCCGUAUCACUGCCCGCUUUUAUAAGUCACGUGCAACAAGUUCCAAUAGAAGGGACACUAUGCCAACAAGUGUCUCAACCAGAGGCGUCUUCCUCCUCCUCCUCCUAUCAGAUCGGCAAGUACAGCUGUGGUCAAGUAUAACCCCAAGUACGCCAAGGUCAAUAUGGUGAAUGCAGCUCAGGCAGAGGAUUCGUCAGAUGUGAUCAUGGGUAACCUUCCUGUUAAUGAUGUCCCUACAAUAGUUCUUUUUGACACUGGUGCAUCGCAUUGUUUUAUCUCGAGACCUUUUGCAUCUAAGCAUGGGUGGUUUUAUCAAGUUAUGCAUAAGCCAUUAGCAGUUGUCUCUCCGGGUAGAUGCUUUCUUGCUAACUACGAAGUUCCGGAUAUUUCUAUCUCGAUGGGUGAUCUCAAGUUUCUGGCUUCUCCAAUGAUCCUUGGUAACUCGGAUAUUGAUCUUAUUCUCGGAUGGAUUGGCUUUCUAAGCACAAGGCUCAGCUUGAUUGUGCAGCCAGGAAGAUUCAGUUGACUCAUUCGUUUGAGGAUGUAAUUGUCUUUGCCGCUCGUGAUAAUACAAUCCGUCUGUUCUCUCUCAAUGAGAAGGGUGAACUUGAUGCCAUCUCUCAAAUUCCAGUCGUUUGCGAAUAUCAAGACGUCUUUCCAGAAGAGCUCCCAGGAAUGCCUCUGCACCGGCCAGUUGAAUUCGUUAUUGAUCUUGAGCCUGGCACGGAACCUGUGUGCAAACGUCCUUACAAGCUCGGACCUGAAGAGCUGAAGGAGCUGAAGAAGCAACUCGAUAUUCAAGAGAAAAUGGGUCUCAUCCGGCCUAGUUCUUCUCCGUGGGGUUGUGGUGUUCUUUUUGUGAAGAAGAAGGAUGGAACGGACCGACUUUGUGUUGAUUACCGUCCAUUGAACAAGAAGACCAUCAAGAACAAAUACCCACUUCCCAACAUCAAUGAGCUGUUCGAACAACUCAAAGGUGCCCAAGUAUUCUCCAAGCUUGAUCUCCGUAUGGGUUAUCAUCAGAUUCGUAUCCGUGAGCAAGAUAUUCCCAAGACGGCUUUCAGGACAAGCUAUGGUUCAUAUGAAUACAUUGUCAUGUCUUUUGGCCUCGUCAACGCUCCUCUGACGUUCUCUCGCAUGAUGAACUUCAUCUUAAACGCCUACACCAAUGACUUCGUUUUGGUCUAUCUCGACGACAUUCUGGUUUUCUCCAAGAACAAGGAAGAUCAUGCCAAGCACUUGCGUUUGGUUCUUGAUAAGCUCAGGGAACAUCAGUUCUAUGCCAAGUUCUCCAAGUGUGAAUUUUGGCUCGAUGAGGUUCUUUAUCUUGGUCAUAUCAUCUCUGCCAAGGUCAUUGCCGUGAAUCCUGAGAAGGUGUCUGCAAUUAUGAAUUGGGAACCUCCUCAGAACAUGAAGCAACUCCGUAGCUUCCUCGGUCUCGCAAGCUAUUGCAGAAGAUUCGUUGAAAACUUUUCUAAGAUCGCGAAGCCUCUCUCAAAUCUUCUUCAGAAGCACGUCAAGUACGUUUGGUCUCUGGAGUGUGACAUUGCUUUCAACACUUUGAAAGAGAAAUUGAUCACUGCUCCAGUUCUGACUCCGCCUGAUGAAUCCAAGCCGUACGAGGUCUUUUGUGAUGCCUCUCUCCAAGGUCUUGGCGCAGUAUUGAUGCAAGAGAAGAAAGUUGUUGCUUAUACCUCUCGCUAGUUGAAGCCUAAUGAGAAGAACUACCCCACUCAUGAUCUCGAGUUGGCGGCAGUUGUGCAUGCUCUUUUGACUUGGAGACAUCUCCUAUUGGGAAGAAAAGUGGACAUUUUCACUGAUCACAAGACCCUCAAGUACAUCUUCACUCAGCCUAAUCUCAACCUCAGGCAAACUCGAUGGGUCGAAAUGAUUCAAGAGUAUAAUCCGAGUAUCGAGUAUACUCCAGGCAAGGCCAAUGUGAUUGCUGACGCAUUGAGCAGGAAAGUGUACUGCAACAGUCUGAUUCUCAAGCCUUAUCAACCCGAGCUUUGUGAAGCUUUCCGCAAACUUAAUCUGCAAGUUGUUCCUCAAGGUUUCCUCGCCAACCUUCAAGUCUCUCCUACCUUGGAAGACCAGAUUCGCCAAGCCCAGCUUCUUGAUGCUAUGGUGAAAAAGGUGAAGAUUGGGAUUGCUAAGAGUCAACCCAAGUACAAGUGCUACCGCCUUGAUGACAAGGACACUCUCUUCUUCGAGGAUCGUAUUGUGGUACCCAAAGGUGACCUCCGUAAAGUGAUCAUGAACGAGGCUCACAAUUCUCUCCUCUCCAUCCACCCUGGGAGCACGAAGAUGUAUCAGGACCUCAAGCAAGCUUAUUGGUGGACUCGAAUGAAGCGCGAAAUUGCUCAAUUCGUGAAUGAAUGUGAUGUCUGCAGAAGAGUGAAGGCAGAACACCAAAGGCCAGCAGGUCUCCUCCAACCUCUUGCCAUUCCAGAAUGGAAGUUUGACCACAUUGAAAUGGACUUCGUGACUGGAUUUCCAAAGUCCAAGCGUGGCAAUGAUGCUAUAUUCGUUGUCAUCGAUAAACUCACCAAAGUGGCUCACUUUCUGCCUAUCAAAGAGUCGAUCACUUCAGCUCAAUUGGCAGAACUCUAUACCUCUCGUAUUGUCUCUCUGCACGGUAUUCCAUAAGUGAUCUCUUCAGACUGUGGCAACAUCUUUACCUCAAAGUUUUGGGAUUCUUUUCAGAAGGCCAUGGGCACCAACAUCCGCUUCAACACAGCUUUCCAUCCUCAAACUAGCGGUCAAGUGGAGCGUGUCAAUCAGAUUCUUGAAGAUAUGCUCAGGGCUUGUGUGAUCUCCUUCGGCAUGAAAUGGGAGGAUUGUCUUCCUUAUGCUGAAUUCUCCUACAACAACAGUUUUCAAGCAAGUUCGGGCAAGGCCCCAUUUGAAAUUCUGUAUGGCAGAAAGUGCCGUACCCCUCUCAACUGGUCUGAAACCGGUGAACGUCAGCUGCUGGGUAAUGACUUAAUCACAGAGGCAGAGGUAAUGUGCAAAGUCAUUCGUGAUAACCUCAAAGCAGCCCAAUCCUGCCAGAAGAGCUACUAUGAUAGUAAGCACCGUGAUUUGGCUUUCGAGAUCGGAGAUCAUGUUUACCUCUACGUCUCUCCUAUGAAAGGUACUCGCCGCUUCGGUAUCAAAGGGAAGCUUGCCUCUAGAUACGUGGGACCUUUCAAGAUUGUCAGCAAGAGAGGCGAUCUCGCCUAUCAACUCGAGCUUCCUUCAAACUUUGCAAAUGUUCAUGACGUGUUCCAUGUCUCUCAGCUCCGAAAGUGCUUCAAGACUCCUGACCGCACCGUCAACUUCGAGGACAUUGAGCUCCAAGAAGAUCUCUCUUAUCGUGAGCACCCAGUUGCUAUUCUUGAAGAGACUGAACGCAAGACUCGCAACAAGUCAAUCAAAUUUCUCAAAAUCAAGUGGUCACACCAUUCCGACCGUGAAGCUACCUGGGAACGCGAGGAUCACCUCCGUUCUGAGUACCCGACAUUCUUUCAGUCCUAGAUCUCGGGACGAGAUCCUUUCGUAGUGGUGGAGUGUUGUAACACCCCGGAUAUAACUUUCCCAAUUUGUACUCCAACUCUUGCCGUUUCCGGCGUUAAGUUAUUUUAUUUUCUCGGGUUCGGGUCUUUGUCUCCGUGUGUUGUUAUCGUUGUCAUGCAUCUCAUAUCAUGUCAUCAUGUGCAUUGCAUUUGCAUACAUGUUCAUCUCAUGCAUUCGAGCAUUUUCCCCGUUGUCCGUUUUGCAUUCCGGCGCUUCGUUCUCCUCCGAUGGUCAUUUCUAGCUUUCUUUCGUGUGUGGGGAUUAAACAUUUCCAGAUUGUACCGAGACUUUCCAAGCGGCCUUGGUUUACUACCGGUAGACCGCCUGUCAAGUUUUGUAUCAUUUGGACAUCGUUUGAUACUCCAACGGUUAACCGAGGGACCGAAAAGGUCUCGUGUGUGUUGCAGCCCAACACCCCUCCAAUUUGGCCCAAAACCCACCUAACUCUACUCCAUCACCUAGAUCGUUCGAUCACGAUCGCAUGGCCGAAAACCGCACCUCGUUUGGACUCUCCUAGCUCCCUCUAUGCCUAUAUAUACACCCCCUCCCGAAAAUCCGGAUCUCCCUCGUCUGAAACCCUAAAAAUCCCCUCGCCGCCGCCAGACAAAAAUCCCACCGACGGACGUGUCCACCCCGCUCCCCCCGGCCUGUCUCCGCUCGCCACGUGGUACCCGGCCACCGCNNNNNNNNNNNNNNNNNNNNNNNNNNNNNNNNNNNNNNNNNNNNNNNNNNNNNNNNNNNNNNNNNNNNNNNNNNNNNNNNNNNNNNNNNNNNNNNNNNNNNNNNNNNNNNNNNNNNNNNNNNNNNNNNNNNNNNNNNNNNNNNNNNNNNNNNNNNNNNNNNNNNNNNNNNNNNNNNNNNNNNNNNNNNNNNNNNNNNNNNNNNNNNNNNNNNNNNNNNNNNNNNNNNNNNNNNNNNNNNNNNNNNNNNNNNNNNNNNNNNNNNNNNNNNNNNNNNNNNNNNNNNNNNNNNNNNNNNNNNNNNNNNNNNNNNNNNNNNNNNNNNNNNNNNNNNNNNNNNNNNNNNNNNNNNNNNNNNNNNNNNNNNNNNNNNNNNNNNNNNNNNNNNNNNNNNNNNNNNNNNNNNNNNNCCGCCGUUCCUCGUCGGCGUCGACGGCCGCCACCGCCGCCCUUGCCUCCACCGCCUCGCGCGCCACCACCCGGCGCCGCGCCCGACCCUCACCGGCCGCCGCCUUCCCGCCUCUCCAUCGACUCCGCCGCCCUCCACCGUCCUCCUCGUCGCCUCCGGCCGCCUUCGGAUCCGCCGCCGCUACAGUAGAUCGCGCCGGAUGAACAGUAAACCCUAGAUCCGCGCGGGGUAAAUUUCUUCUAAGUCCCGAAAUCUCCGAUCCAAGUGCCCAUGUUCAUGGCCUUGUUACUUUGCAUCCGUAGCUCCGAUUCAUGCAUAUAGCAUAUCAAAAUAUUCGCCUCAGAUAGUACAUCAUUUCAUUGCAUUGCAUCAUUUUCAUUUGAGUUCAUCUUGAUGCCUAAAAUGCUGUUAGAAGAGGGCAACUUGAGUUAUUUGCCAGAUCUGCUACUCCAUUUAAAGUUUUGUCAUUUUUGCCAUGAUUAAUAUGUGCAUGAUAUGCCCUGAUACUCUACAUAUGUUUUGUUAAGGGUUUUGUCAUCUUUCCAGAGGUGCAAUCCAUGUAUUUUUGUGAUGUGUGUGGUGACUAGUGCAAGCUUGCAAAGUGGUGCACUUGGUAAUUCUGUUUUCAGGGACUUGGUAAUUUCACUAAGUCCUGGAUCUGUUUAUCUCAUGAUGCCAUAUGUUCUUGUUGUUUCCUAGUGAUCCGUGCCUCUUUUGAGGAUGAUCAGUAAGUGAGUUUUAUUUAUAUGGUAAUGCUCUAUCCAUCCAUGUCUUUGUUUGCAAUUAUGUAUCACCCUAGCUUGAGUCAAUCAAGCUCUACUUUUGCUACUUUGUGAAUCUGGGCAGAUUGUCAACUUGUUUGCAAUUUUGCCGAUGAUGUUGUAGUUGAUCCGUGCAUGCUAUGUUAUUGUUCUUGCCAUGUAUAGCUUGCAUUUUGUGUAUUCUUGAUGGGUGUAUGCUUACCUUAUCAUGACUUGCACUAUGGUGAGAGCAUCGAGCUCGUAAACAUGCCUACUUGAGUUAUGUUUCAGCAUGUGCCAGUUUUCACUGUCUGAAAACUGAUUAUGUUUUUGCGAUGUUCGCGUGCUUGUUAGUAUAUUUUUUGAUCCCUUUUGGCUCAAGGGCACUAAGGGACUUUUGUUAAGCUAUUUGAGUAGCUCCAUGCCAUGUUCUUCUUUGUCAUGUUCAGGUCCCAUGGCAUGUAGUUUUGUUGCUCCGAAGAAUGCUAUCUGAUCUGAAAUUUCAGACAAGUGUUAAUUUCACUAAGUCUGAGAUCUGUUUAUCAUAUGUAGUUUUGCCAUGCUUGUUUGAACCUGUUAAUGGAUGAAUUGACCGUAGCUCAGUGCUAGACUUUUGUUAAGCAUCUUGUAUGCAACCCUGCCAUGUAUUUUUUUGUCAUAUUUGGGUGUUGUACCAUGUCUAUUUCGUUGCAUUUAGAUGGCUACUUGCCGUAAAUCGCAGACCGGUGUCAUUUUUGAAUCGCUUGCCAUUUCCAAACCGUAACUCCGAUUCCGGUGUUCUUUAUAUCGUUUUCAAGCGAUUUCAUCUCAUCUUUCCAGUGGCACACUUGGAUUUCCAUGUUGAGGCCAGGUUCUUGCAUUUCCUGUCAUAUCGUGCAUUAUGCAUCCCGCAUCGCAUCACGCAUAGCAUACCAUCUUUGCAUCGUGUUGUUUGAGUUUGCACGUGGUUGAUUGUGCCCUUGUUGCUUGUUUGUCUUGUUUGGGUAGAGCCGGAAGACGAGUUCGCUAACGAGGAGCCCAUUGAGUUUGCUUUCGAGGAUCUAGUCAACUUUGACAACUUUGCAGGCAAGAUGAUCAUACCCUCGAAAUCACUACUAUCUUUGCUAUGCUAGUUUGCUCGCUCUUUUGCUAUGUCAAUGCUACGAUGCCUACCAUUUGCUUUCAAGCCUCCCAAAUUGCCAUGCCAAACCUCUAACCCACCAUGUCCUAGCAAACCGUUGUUUGGCUAUAUUACCGCUUUGCUCAGCCCCUCUUAUAGCGUUGCUAGUUGCAGGUGAAGAUUGGAGGUCUUCCUUGUUGGAACACUUAUUUACUUGUUGGGAUAUCAUUAUAUUGCCAUGUUAUCUUAAUGCAUCUAUAUACUUGGUAAAGGGUGGAAGGCUUGGCCUCUCGCCUAGUGUUUUGUUCCACUCUUGCCGCCCUACUUUCCGUCAUAUCGGUGUUACGUUCCCGGAUUUUGCGUUCCUUACGCGGUUGGGUUAUAAUGGGAACCCCUUGAUAGUUCGCCUUGAUUAAAGCUUUUCCAGCAAUACCCAACCUUGGUUUUACCAUUUGCCACCUAGCCUUUUCUUUCCCUUGGGUUCUGCAGACUCAAGGGUCAUCNNNNNNNNNNNNNNNNNNNNNNNNNNNNNNNNNNNNNNNNNNNNNNNNNNNNNNNNNNNNNNNNNNNNNNNNNNNNNNNNNNNNNNNNNNNNNNNNNNNNNNNNNNNNNNNNNNNNNNNNNNNNNNNNNNNNNNNNNNNNNNNNNNNNNNNNNNNNNNNNNNNNNNNNNNNNNNNNNNNNNNNNNNNNNNNNNNNNNNNNNNNNNNNNNNNNNNNNNNNNNNNNUGUUGGUCCAAACUGUCAGCCGCCGGUGGCUACCAGGGGCAACUCUGGGCUGGCCUACCGGAAGUUUAGACAAUCUGAGUGUGCCCUGAGAAAGAGAUAUGUGCUGCUCCUAUCGGGAUUUGUCGGCACAUUCGGGCGGUGUUGCUGGUCUUGUUUUAACCCGUCAAAGUGUCUUGAAUAACCGAGAUACCGAGUCUGAUCGGAACGUCUUGGGAGGAGGUCUAUUCCUUCGUUGACCGUGAGAGUUUGUCAUGGGCUAAGUUGGGACUCCCCUGCAGGGAUUGAACUUUCGAAAGCCAUGCCCGCGGUUAUGGGAAGAUGAGAAUUUGUUAAUGUCCGGUGGUAGAUAACUUGAACCUUAAUUUAAUUAAAAUGAAUCAACCGUGUGUGUUACCGUGAUGGCCUCUUCUCGGCAGAGUCCGGAAAGUGGACACGGUGUUGGAGUAAUGUUUGCGCAGUUUGCUCUCUAGUUUCUCGCUCGCGCUUUGCCUCCUCUUCUCGCUCUCUUUUGCGAAUAAGUUAGCCACCAUAUAUGCUAGUCGCUUGCUGCAGCUCCACACAUAUUUCCCUUGCCUUACCUAUAAGCUUAAAUAGUCUUGAUCGUGAGGGUGCGAGAUUGCUGAUUCCCUGUGGCUCACAGAUUACUAUUACACCAGAUGCAGGGCCUGAUGAUUCCGCUCCAGAUGACGCGCUCGAGCUCAAGUGGGAGUUUGACGAGGACUCUCAACGUUACUAUGUUUCCUUUCCCGAUGAUCAGUAGUGGUGCCCAGUUGGGGGUGAUUGGGACCGUGUCGCAUGUUGGGUUUAUCUUCUAUUUUGGCGCCGUAGUCGGGCCAUGAGUGUUUGGAUGAUGUAAUGUUAUUUAAGUACCUUGUUUGACGUGGCGAGUGUAAGCCAACUAUGUUAUCCCUUUUAUUAUUCAUAUUACAUGGGAUGUUGUGAAGAUUUCCUUACUUGCGACAUAUGCCUUCAAUGCGAUUAUGCCUCUAAGUCAUGCCUCGACACGUGGGAGUUAUAGUCGCAUCGAGGGUGUUACAGUUGAGGAGUUGUCGAAUGAUUCAGCCGCAGCCGGCGGAGGUUGGCAGCAGCGGCCGGGCCGUCGAAAAGGAGCGAACCGGACAGGCACGGGAGGCUCGAGCUGGGAGGCAGGCAGUGACAAGUGGAGGUGGGGUGUCUAGACACAGCGCCGCCGCCGCUCACAGAGGAGGAGCAGGGGAACGUGAGUUUUUUAGGGUUAGGUCGUUCGCUUCGUUGGUUUUAACUUAGGCGGGCCGUGGGAGGCUUCAGAAGUUAAAUUGGGCCAACAAAAAUUCAAAUUGGGCCGAAAAUAUUAGGCCGGCACAGACAUUUACUGGGCCGAGCCGAGAUGAACGAAAUUCGGCCGAAAAUCGGUUUUUUCGGCCGAAAAUCAAAACUGUGCUCCCACGUCGUAACCCCCCCCCCUCCUCCCCGGCUCCGGACACACGCAUAUCCCUCAUGUGCAUCUCUCCAUUUAUCGCUCUCGUUAGCCCACGCGUCAUCGCUCAUUCAUGAAUGGAAAUGAGAGUUUACACGUUCAAGUUUUCUUUGAAUAUCCUAUCUCGGUAGAGCGCUUUUUUCUUCGUUUUCAAGUUCGCCGACAAACAUUUUAAAGUGUACCUUUCUAUGCAUGGCAGGUGUUGCGGCAGCCAUAUAAUUUUUUACGAUACAAUGGUAGGAAUGUUUAUACAUAUAUAGUCACAAAACAUGUUGAUUAAAUGUGUCUAUCCUUAGAGAUUUUUUUAUGAUUUUUUUCUCUUGUAGGUGUGUCAUCGGAUACAUAUAAUAGUAGCAACAAAAUUAAAAGAAAACUUGAAUUGGAAAGCCCACAUUUGAUCAAACUGGGAAGAUACAAAUCCAUUGGCCAGCAAACCACAUGGAAUUCCUCUCCAUGGGAAAAUACAUUUUUCAUUUUGCAGAACUAUAAAGGUGCCAUGCUUAAAUUUUUGUUAACUAUCAACAACUUCAUUGACUUUUUUAAAGCAAUGAGGAAGAAAGAGGAUUGCAAACUUGAGAAAGAUCCAUUCGAGAGCAUACUUGGGACUGUCCUAAAAUACGUUUUGAUGCUUCUUUUCUAGCAUGGUACAAUCUCUCACACCAAAAGACAACAAUUCAUCGAUGUGAUAGACACACCGUGAUCCUAAUAAGAUUUUUCUAAUGGGCUUUCCCCCUUUCCAUUACUUUCAUAAUGAGAAUAUAACAUUUAUCGAGAGAUAUGGAUACAAUAAAUGAGAAAGGAAACCAAAUGAGCUCAAGCAUCCCUUAGAGUUUCUAAACUCCCACGAGCCGAGCCGUUUACAAAUUGUCAUGCCAAAUAAUAUAAAACAUUCAUUAUACCGUGUAGAUGAGAGCAUCGACAAUCGGACCCCUAUUUCCUCCUCAAACAUUUAAAAAGUCCGUCUGGUUAGUGUCCGGUCAAAAAAAGCAAAAAAGUGACCCAACAGGACCACUCACUUUUUUCCUAAACGUCCGGACUGACCAGCGUAUAUCAAAGCGAGACCAAAUCCCGGGGGCAAUAUGAGAGUGCCCGGUCACGCCAGGGCAGUGCUCCACAUCAGCUCCAAUCAACACAUGACCCCAGUUGCAGCCAUUGUGAUGAGAAGGCCAUGACGGCAAUGAGACCCAUCACGUGGAUGCGGACGCGUCGGGAAGGAAGGCCGCCAGAGCUCGCGCAGCGGGGCUGUGCUGCCUUGCUGGGGCCAGAGUUCCCGCACUUCAUGUCUGUUGUGCCCGCCCGACACCGCGUCGGAGCUCGCAACCGACAGGGUUGUUGUGCCUUGCCGGGGGCCGGAGCUCGUGUGGCGGGGCCGCUGAGCCCACCCCGGCACCAUGCCGGAGCAGUUGCGCUCACGCCGCACCACGCUCGUGGCGGAGCGUGGAAUGGUUGUUGUGCCCGAGGCGGAGCUUGCGCGCGCCGGGCUUGCUGCGCUCGCAACAGCCGCCUCUCCUAGUAUCUGGGCCCGUCGGCAUCUACCGCUCCCUCCUCUGUAAAGCCGGAGCCCAUCUCGUCCGACGACAAGGAGAAGCAACAGCCACCCCUCGAAUGGAGAAGGAGUUCACAUGGUAGAUGGAGCUGUUGCUCAAGCGGUCUUGCUACGACCACGUUCCGGCGCCACCCUCGCCCCCGUGCAACCAGGUGUUUAAAUCAGACACCACAUCAAGGAGGAGCCGCCAUCCUUGCCUCUCAUCCUUCUCCAUACUGGCAAGGAGGCGGUGUUGCCAUCACCGCCCCGAUGGGAGUCUGGGAGCUAGUGGCGCCAGGUCACCGUGAAGGAGGAGCCUCCAUCACAUCGUGCACUACCGCGAUGGUGUCGGGGGCUCGUCCACCAUCGUGACGUCAACCUCUGAGAUGAUGCGCUGGGAGCGGCACAACACACAUCAUUGGGCGACGUUCGCAUUGUCGAAUGACACCCUCGUCUGUGUCCCUGCGAACCCCACCCUCGUGGAGGCCUAGGCCAUUGAUAGGUCCAGGAGAACCGUGCAAACAUCCUCCCGCCACCGACGCUAGAUCAACGACCAGCUCCUCAAAGUGGGAUUGACCAAGUCCGAGCGCUUUGCCUGGCUCAAAGGCGAGAGGCGCGGGGCUGAGUCCACGACCGAUCGUCGCCGCCAGGCAGGGGAGGCUGAAGCUCUGCGCCAAUUGUAGGAGGCCAAGCGACUACGUCGCGAGCAUGCAACAACCGAUUAGGGCUGCCAUGACACCUGGCGGCAUUUCCGUCACUGGAAGGACAACAACGUCGACAACUCAGACAACAACGACUACAUCGAGGCGACGCAAGCGACGACAGAGGUACCGGUGGCCUCGGAGGUCAUGCCUGUGAGGUCACCGUCCAGUACCUCACACAGUUUAGGUUAGUUUUUUCUUAAGAUUUCAUUCAAUUUAGUUGGAGAUUUAUUAUUUUUGUCCCAGGGACAAAAUUCAUGCUAAACAUGAUAAUAUUUGUUAAAUUUCAGACGUGUCCCCGGACAUUGGUGAUGUCUGUGUUGGUGAUCCGCGUUGGAGUUGCCCUAACACAACUUUUGUUAUUACAAAUGGAAAAGGCAAAGCAAUUCUGUAACACAAUUCAGGAUAGCAGGUUUGAGACAGGACUUUCAACACCCGGGUGCCCCUACAUCCUGUAAGACUCCAUCGAAUAUUUUCAGGCAGUACAUCACGCCAUGUGAAAUUCCAAAGACUAAAUAAUGAAAUUUCGAACUGGUUCUUGAACAAAGGAAAAGGAUGUUAGCUGAUCAGCGGCUCACAAGGAAAUAAUGUACUGGACUUCAUGGAUGAUUGGAGCUAGAAGGUGAAUGUGUGAAGCAUUGAAGCAGAUCCAGGAAAAAUAAAAUUGAACAACACAGAAGAGGAUAGUCUUGUGUUGUGUGGCAGCUCAGCAAUAUUAUGAGCCCCAGUGAGACACAUGAAACUGAACAAGACCCAAAAGAAUAACUCUGUUUCCCAAGGAUCCAUGUCUCUAAGCUCAGCAAUAGUCCUGUGUACCAACUCAGCUAUAUUGCGAGCCACAGCAAAAUUCUCAGCACAUUCCACAAGCGGUAAAAUCCAUAUUGCACUCCCCAUAAGAAAACAACCGUCUUUGCAAAGACCAGUUUUUUUACCUCAUGUACAUGACUGUACCUGCUCACAUGGGAACACAGCAAAAGCGGGACAUGAGGCAAAAGAACAGAAUAAGGCAGUAGCAUUUACGCAAUGAACUCAUGAUGUGCGUAACUGCAUGUCUAAGAAACUAAUAGCUCAAAGAGGGAAAAGGAGACACUGCGAAAAAAGAAGAAAUUAAUGUCACAUUCACUAUAAGUAGAAAAGAGAAGCACCUGUUAUGUGUAUUGAAAAUGAGAGUUGUGCACCAUGACCUUAUUUAACAUGUAGUUAUGUUAUGAAUGCAUUCGAAAAAAAAGGUAUGAAUGAACAACAACUAAGAUCUGAUAGUCUGAUGCAAAUGCAUUCCCCAGAAACCCCAAAUGGGUAGGUGCAACCAAAAAGUGACAUCUGACUACCGGCGCAUUGUUUCCUAUUUUUUGAACUUCAAAAAACAGGUUUCUAUGGUUUGAAAAAUUCUAAAUUUUUGUGUACGUGCACAUAUAGCAGUGCAGUAUAACUAACGAGCCAAAAUUUCACUAAUAUACGUGCUUGCAUGUGAGAGAUAGGAAAAAGACAAAUUUCAUGCAAAUUUGGGGCUUGUUUUUGUUGAUUUUGGGCCAAAAUUUUGUCUUUUUUGCGCAUCAUACAAUACAACAUAUUUUUGAACGAAAUUUGACAGGUAGUUAGACCUCAUACGUGUGUAUUCAUGUGAAAAAAAAUCAAAAUAUUUCAAAACUUUUAAGCACUUAUUUUGGUGUGCUCAAAAAAAUGAGCGCCAAUGCCUCCGUUGUCCAAAAGUCCACUUUAUAGGUGCAACCAACAAGACAAACAUAUGUUGAUUAUUUGAUGGCCUUCCCUAAAAAACAAAAAACAAGACAAACAUAUGCUAAUAUUCCUAUAUAGUGUCUCUUUAGCCUUUACAUUAAAAUAAAGGGAAAACUUUGUUUUUGCCACUCUAGUUUUUGCCCAUUUUGCUUAUGCCACUCUAGAAUUAGACAUAUCACUUUUGCCACUCUUAGCUUCUGACAAUACAUUACAAAUGCCAUUUCGUGGCAAAAGCAAUAACUUUUCAUUUCACUUUUGCCACUUCAGAUUUUGACAAUGUAUCAUAAUUGCCACUCUAAAAUUAUUGUUUUUGCCAUGGAAUGGCAAUUGUGAUGUAUUGUCAAAAACUAAGAGUGGCAAAAGUGAAAUGUCAAAUUCUAGAGUGGCAAAAGCAAAGUGGUCAAAAGCUAGAGUGGCAAAAACAAAGUUUUCCCUAAAAUAAAUCUAGAAAAACAGUAGCAAAGGUGCAGCUGUAUUUAUUAGACAUGUUUCCUUUGUUACUGAAUUAUAUUAUUUUGUCCUGAAACACUUGACCAACCGAAAUUUGCAUAGCGCUGAAAUGGCUAGCCAAAAUCACUCCAAGUAGGGCAUCCAACCACAGGCAUGAGAAUGGCAAUAGUGAUAAAUCUACUGAUCAGGGCAGAAGGCACAGAUAUUUCCUACAACACUAUUAAAAACGGUCCGGAAUUCGACAGUGAAAGUAUGCGACACUCAUGGUUGCUUUACCAGAAACAAUCACAUCAAAGUGCAGUAACAAACUUUUAAUUUUGUUGGUCAGAGAGAAAAUCACCUGAUCUUCUUCUUCUUGACCAAACACUUCCCCUAGAUUCGUCAUCUUCUCUUCUUUCCCCGAUCAGCACAAGUCAUGCUUAUAGCUGGAGAUACAAGAGGCAAAAAGACGCCACCGCUGGUCCUCAGCCAGGCAUGUGAGCAAGCUUCUCAUCUGUGAGGGUGUCAUAGCUGGGAGGGUCAUUAUUAGAUUAUAGUGUGAUCCAUGCACAGCAAUAUGCAUACAACUUUCUUUAUAGAGAAAUAUAUAAGUAUGCAGCUAGCACAAUUUAAAUAUACAACUUUUGUUAUAGAGAAAUGUACAGUUAUGCAUACAACUUGCAGCCAAAUUUUACACAAAAGGCAACUUUCCCCUGCUUAAUGAAAUCAGGGUUUGAACAACUAAAACAUCAAUAGCAUGGCUAUAAAAAUUAGAGACGGGUUCUUAAUUAACAAGACAUAACACAACUCUCCCAUCACCCAUCAAACUCACACUACACUCCCUCACCCAUCUAACUUGAAAAUCAAACCAAAGCCAACACCAAAGCAGCAAACUGAUGAACUUCCAUUGCUUGAGAAUUAUGCUUCCUCAUUGCCGUGUCCAGCUUCACUUGAUGCUUCAGCCACAAGACCAGCUG
rnacentral:lncRNA from 1 species